ACCCGGGCUCCAAGAUGACGCUCCACUUCACCCUCGCCGCCGCCGGCGCCGCCCUCCCACGCGCCCUCGCCGACGCCAUCCCGUUCGCCUCCGCCAGGAUCCAGGAGAUCCUCUCCCGCCUCCCCGUCCCGGCCGGCUCCCCCGCCGCCGCGGCCGUGCGCUCCACCCUCGCCGCAUGCGAGGCCGCGCCGGUCCCCGGUGUGGAGGCCCUGCGCUGCGUCACCUCCCCAGACUCCAUGGCCGACCUCGCCGCCUCCAUCCUCGGCACCCGGAACAUCCGCGCGGCGGCGACCAAGCUCACCAGCACGGAAGGCGCGACGACGAGGCAGGAGUACACGAUGGUGUCCGUCAGGCCCCUGCCGGUGGCCGGCGGCGACAUGGUUGCCUGCCACCGUAUGCCCUAUCCGUACGCCGUGUUCGCGUGCCACGCAACCACCGCCGCCGUGUACGCGGUGAGCCUCGCCGGCGCCGACGGGACGACGGCCAAGGGGGAGGCCCUGGCGGCGUGCCACGCGGACGCGUUCCCGGGUAUCUCGCAGUCGGCGUACGAGAAGCUCGGCGUGGAGCCGGGGAGCGUGCCCGUGUGCCACUUCCUGCCCCAGGACAGCAUGCUCUGGAUGCGCAACUGAAAAUAAAGCUUGGCUUCAAAGUUGCGCGGCACGAGCAAGUGCUACGUGUGUAUAAAAAAAAAAGUGGCUGAUCACGUACUUGAUCGCCUGUUCUAUCGGCUACCGGAUCACUGAAAUGUAAUACAGUAUAUCGUGUGGGUGUGUAAUAAUCUCUAUACUUAAUCCUAUCUAUGUACUCCCUCUGUUCUAAAUUGUAGGUUGUUCCUAAAUACAUAGUGAAGGAUAGAAAAGGGCGACCAGAGGGGGUGAAUGGGAGCCAAUUUAAAAAACUCUCUAAGAAACUCGGCCUAAGUCCCAAAGUAAGCUUCAACCCUCUCUUCUGGCUAUUAUCAAGAUCACGUAGUCACAGCGGAUCUACUGACCUUAGGAACGAUGCUAGAAAGGCUCGGAAACAACACAGAAGUAAACACAAAAGAUUGAGGCCAAACCAAGCUCAAAACACCUUCCACGUACUGGAACUUCCGACCUCUUAUCGGAACUUCCGAAAGUGCGAUUGGAACUGUCUAGAAAACUCCGACAAGAGGUCCUCCGUGGUUUUGUCGGAACUUCCAACCCUGUAUCAGAAGAUACUUCUAGCACCUAUCGCAUGUAUUGAGAAACUGCCGACAAAGGGCUCUUAGGCUUUCAAAAAUAAAUCAUCAGAACUUCCGGUUCGGUGUUAGAACUUUCUACAGCUCAGAAAAACAGCCCGGAAAGUUUAAGUCAACGCUUCAAAAUUCAAUCAAAUAACCUUCAAAAUUCACGAAAUUUUAACCAUAGCUCCGCAAUAGCCUAAUGAGUCUUUGCCCAAAAGGUCUCCUCAAAAAUAUCAAUAUUUCACUAUGGAUUUCACAGAAUAUGGUCAAUAACACAAAAGAGAGAGUUUUGGGAAACUUCAAAUUCAAACCGAAUCUGUGGGGGUUUGAGGAAGGAUCACAUCAAUGAUGCUCACAAGGGUCAUAGCAACAAUUUACCCUAACAAACCUCGCGAGAUUUGGGCUCAAACUUGAAAAAUGAAAAUUCGCACGAAAAUUCCCCGAAAAUCCCAAAAUAGAAAAAGGGAGAAACAACAAGAUUUAGCCACGGAUUUGAGACACAAAUUCAACUAAAUCACAAAGACAACAUAUUUAAAAGAUGAGGACUAGCCUCCACCCUUCAUCCUCCCCGUAGGAUGGAGAAAUCAAGAGAAAAGAAGCUCUCACCCUCUGAUCUCUCUCCUCUCCUCUCUCUAAGCACUUGGCUAGCCUCUAAGCAAAUGAAAUUAGGGUUCCAAGCACACCCCCAAACCAGCCAACUCUAAUAUAUAUAGUCCAUGGCUGAUGAUGAAAAUACCCAUAUAGCUACAACUAAGAUAACUGCACAUGCAGGGGCAUUUUGGUCUAGUUUUUUGUAGACGCGUCGGACGGACACGCCACCUUCACAACUUUACUUCACCUCGACAUAAGCUUCGCGAUGAUGCCACGUGCCCUCCUUCUCGAAGCUCUAGCCGCACCAAGCUCGCCCCCGGUUUUGAGGCCCAAACCGGGAAACCUUUCUACACGGUGGUUUUGAGGCCCAAACCACCCAAACCGUCCAUCUCCGCUUGGCCACCAUGCAACCUCCUCGAUAUUGACGUGUGUCCAGCCUCCACCAAGCCUCCCACUUGACUCGAUCGACGCCAUUUCCAUCCUGUCAUGUUCUCUCGCCCUUCCAUGCACCAUGUGGGUCGCUCAUGACUCCACCCGGACUCCUCGGGUCCCUCGGUCCAAGCCUACUCGUGUUCACCCUUCACCGCCCUUGGUCCAUUGGCAUGAACCUUUCUCUUGACCUUCGCCGCAUGCCAUCAGCCACCAUGUCACAUCCUACCUGCACAUCACAAGCCCAGAGCAACAUCAUUCCACACAACAUUGUCAAUCACUCAUCAUCCAAGGGUGACCACUAUUGAUCCUCACAUAGGAAAACUAUGUACAUAGAAAAGGUAAAAUGAUGUACCAUUUGAAACGGUGGGAGUAUUCCGUAAAUGUAUGUAUACCUGUCGUGUUGUGUAUACCUGCUUACGGCUCACGCAUGGGCUCCUGUGGGCUCAGCACAUAGGUGCAUGGUGUGCAACUAAUCUCUUUCACCUUCUCUACCCUUCAAUACAGUUGAAAAAGGUGACUCAGAGGCAAAUUGCUUCCCGGAGUGGUGUUCAUGGUGAGACCUUUUGCUUACUCUACACCUCCUUUGUUGUCAUUUUUUUUGGCGGUGGGCCAGUGGCUUGGUCCUCCUGGUGGCUGGUGUAUGCGUGGUGCAUAGUGAGGGUGUUAUCUGUGGGGGGUUUUGGCAUCGACAAUAUUUCCUAUGCUCACUGCAUCCUUUGCAUUGGUGUCCUAACCUUCUUUGCGACGUCAACGAUGGCGUCGACUUCAUUACAAAUGACAUGGCGGUCGGUGUUCAGAGGAGUCUCAACAGGCAUAUACCGGCAAUGAUGGUUAGAUUUGUUAGAAGUUUAGGAUCAUCUAGGGUAGAUCAGUGGGUGAAUUGCUUACUCAGUUUGGUUCAAAUCAAGUAACAGCGGAUUUAGGAGAAGUAGGCAGAAAGAGAGUAGAGAUAGAGGGAGAGGUCCAUACCUUCUGGGUAGGCAGAGGAGGUACAGGACGAAGAAGCUGCCAUGGCAACGGGUACGCGGUGUGGGGCGGCGAAGUCCGGUGCGGCGGUGAAGGCGAUGGUGCUUCCCGUUGCUCACAGCGCCCCUCUCGAUCGGUCUAGGGUUAGGAACUUUGAUGGUGGGCUGGCAGCUCAGAUCAACCUCGUGUCUUGUGCCCCAGCCCCCACCAUCCUUUUAUGGCGCUGCACGAUGGGGGCCCAUCAGCUAGAAGAACUAGCUGAGCGCCUCUGAUCAGGGCGUGGACCAAGGGCCCAAUUGGCCGUUGGGCCAACUGGUGGAGAUCAAAUUAAACUUCUCCCCCUUGAUCUCACCUUAUGACUUAAACUUAACUUACUUUAUCUUGUUCCCAUUCCAUCACAGAUCAGUGCAUAGAGCAUGCCUCAUCAUCAUGGUCAGUUGCCAUUAGAUUUAACAGCUACAAUGCACCUCUCUGUUUCAAAACAGAUACUCAACUAGGCCCUUAGUAUCUAGAAAUCAUAGGCUUUCCUGUAAACCCAUGUCGACUGUGUGUUCUCUGAACACACUGGGUGGUAAGCCUUUGGUAAGCGGAUUCGCAAGUACUUGCUUGGUAGUUAUACGCUUAAUGCUUUCUGAAUGAUUCUGGAUUUUCUCCUUUACAACAUAUAACUUAAUUUCAAUGUGUUUGGCAGCACACUUGAUCUGUUGUCAUAGGAGUGAAUUACUUUAAAUGGUUAUUGUUGCUGACAACCAUUGUUCAUUCCAGGUACAAGUUUUCUUAACCACUUUUGCCUGUCCCUUAAGCCUCAUAACAAGUUAUACUAUAGGUAUGCAUCAUUGAUGGUACCACACCUGUUUCUUUGGAGCUUUUCCACAAUAAAACUCCAACUGCGAGUGUUAGCAACUACUGUGGAUUUCACUACACAUCUCGCCAAAACUUAACAUUUGUACCCACAACUAUUUGAGAGUACUUGUUCUUUCUUACUCAUCAUGAGGCCUAUGAUACUUUGCAAAAUUGCAAGACAUUCUUAACUCCAUUCCAGUGAUAUAUAUCUGGACUGGGCUUCUGCCAAAAUAUCCCGGAUACGUGAGCUAUGUCAGGGUAAGUUCUUCCUUAUGCACUUAUUAAGCUUCCAACAGCUGAAACAUAUGGAACCAUGUACAUUUGAUCGAUCUCAUAUUGGUUCAUGAAACACUGAAAGUUGCCAUACAUAUUACCCUUGACUAUAGGAGCAGGCAUAGGCUUACUCGCAUGCAUACUUUAUUUCUUUAGGAUCUUUUCCAAGUAUGCCUUUGCGAUAGAACUAAUACCCCUUUUCUUCUAUCUCGGUGAAUUUCAAUUCCUAGAACGAACGACGCUUCACCGAGAUCAUUCAUAUUGUAACUUGAGGACAACAACUUCUUCUUCUUCCAUAGCAGAUUAACAUCACUACCAAUGACUAGGAUGUCAUCUAUACAUAGGAUGCGGAAAAUGAAUUUUCCAUUCUUCAACUUUGCAUAAAUGCAAUUGUCCUCUACAUUCUCUUUUAAACCCAAACAUUCUUAUUGCUUUAUUAACUUUAAUUGCUAUAGCCUAGAGGCUUUCUUUAAUCCAUAAAUGGAUUUCUUCAGGCGGCAUCCCAUACGUUCUUUUCCUUCCACAACAAAACCUUCGGGUUGUGUCAUGUUAACAUUUUUCAUACAAAUCCCUAUCGGGGAAUGCUAUCUUUACAUUCAUCUGAUGUAACUCUAAAUCGUAAUGUGCCAUGAACGCCAUUAUGAUUCUAAAGGAAUCCUUGCAUGAGACUGGAGAAGAACUCUCAUUAUAACUUAUUCCUUCUCUUUGCGUAAAGCCUUUCGCCACAAGUGGCACCUUAUAUCUUUCUCUAUUCCCUUUGGAGUCACAUAUUGUAUUGUAGACCCUUUUACAGCCUACUAUUUUGACUCCAUUAGGAAUUUCUUUUAAGUCCCAAACCUCAUUGGUACUCAUCGAUUUCAUCUCAUAUUUUGUAGCCUCUUGCCAUUCAGAUGAGUGAGUGCUUCUCAUGACUUCUUCAAAUGAGGUGGGAUUACCCUCCAUUUAAAUUUCUUCACUAACAUAGACUUCAUAGUCUGGAGUCUUAGCUACUCGCAUGUCUUUCAUAUGGGACUGGUGUUGUUCUUCAUUGUCAGGAGACAAUUGACUCUACAGUCUCCUAUAUAACAAGAUCCUUGUUUAUAUUAUUUAUCUUCCUUGAAUGGCUAACAACAGGUGUUGUAUAAGUUAUACAGCAUCAACAGGUAUUGAGAAAACUUGUUGCUCUUGAAUCAUCAAAGUGGACAGCAGUCCCAUUUCUCUUCAAGUCUUAGGUCUCUACAUACCAUGCUCCCCCAGAUCAUCCCAUCUUCUGAAAAGAUGGUGUAUCUUCAAAUUCCUUAUUUAGGUUUAAUCUAUUAGAGCCUCAUAUGGCGCUUUAAGAAACGCCUUAAUAUCUUUGAGGCUCGUCCAGUAUGAAUACUGGCUGACUACGCUAUCUUCUAUCAGAAUUAUGAAAAGUCCAGGAAUUUAGCUACGGGGUAUCAGUAUUAUGAUCGUUGUACUCUGCUGACGGUCACAUUCAUCUUUUAUAGAUAACUUUUGCUCUCAAUGCAUACUAUGCAUCGCAUUAUGGGGAGAGUAUCUUUCUUAGUUGAUCUUACAAUUCAUUCUCCCCCUCAAAAUAUGGCAUGAACUUUACUGCCAUAAUUUCAAAAACUAUUUAGAACUAUUGUGAAUGAGAAGGCAUUAAUGAGGUACUUCAUUCACAUGAUUAUGUCAUGCAGACAAAGUUAUUUCUUAAUUCGUAUGAGGAGUACACUUUUCUCAUUCCACUUCAAGAACUCAACAAAGUCCUUUAUUAGCAGUACUUCUGCAAGUCAUGCUUGUAUAUCUUUCUUAUCUUUGGUUCGUUUUCAACUUCCUUUUAUCCUUAAACUCAUUUCAUGACAAAAUGAUACUACAAGAAAGGCUUAAACUUCUCCCUUUCCUUUCGAUCUACGUCUAAUGACUCCAUCUUAAUGGCCAUAUUAUACAUUCAAAAUGUACAUUCCACCAUUACUAGAUUACUCCGCAAUGAGUUACUCAAUUAGAGUGCCCACAUAGGUUUGUAGAGAGUCAGUUACCUGACUCUCCACCUUCUUUUAGCAUUGGUGUGAUUUUGGGAUUGCACCCCUUAUGGCCUUUGACUCAUCGAGUGUUUAAUGACCAUGACAUAGUAGAAAUGCACGGUCAAUACUAGGAUAGCAUAAGAGCUACCCCAAACCUCUCACGCUGUGUGGGAUACACUAAAACCACAUGAGUCAUCACAAACUUCUUCCGCUAUGCAGGAUUUGAAUAGCAUAAGAACUAUGCCAAAACUUCUCCCGCCAUGCGGGAUAAUUCCCUAUAAGGGACAUAAGAACCAGAGUUAGCUCUCAGAACAUGGGAAGUGCUUUGAACAUUCAAUACAUCAAAUUCAGAAAUAAAUCCGAAUACUCUGUAACACACAUGUUUAAUUCGACGUUGGUCAAAUUAGACAUGCAUCUUACUUAUUGCAACUCUCAUCAUAAUGAUAGAAAAUCCAUAUUCUAUUUUCAAUAACGAAAACUUAGACAUGGUGACCAAGAACAUUCACUUAUACUUUAUUUUCCAAAUAAAUCUUCCUGUUGGUUCCAAUUUAAUCAGAAAAUUGAUGAACUAACAAUAACAGAAGCUCUUGGUGAGAGAAAAAUUUAAUUCAAUUUAGCCCAAAACAGGCUUAACUCAUGCCUUUUCGUUCACAUAGCCUAGCAUUGCAUUCCAUUGGCAUGCAGCCGAGUAACCUCAAGCGUUGAUUAAAAUCAACGGUUGUUAGUUUUUUCCUCUUUGGUCAAAACUGAAACAUACAAACAUUCUUCCACAUUAAUUCCAUAUCACCGUUGGGCAGAAAUGGAACCAAUGCAUAAAAUUCAUUGAUUCUUUUACAUUAAUUCUACAUCACCGUUGGGCAGAAAUAAAAUUAAUGCAUAAAACUUAUUAAUUCUUCUUCAUUAAUUCUAUAUCACUGACAUUCUUCCACAUUAAUUCUAUACAGCGUUGGGUAGAAAUAGAAUUAAUGCAUAAAACUCAUUAAAACUUAUGAAUAAUCUUAUGAACAAAGUUAUAAUAUUGUUAUCAUCAACGUUGGUCAGAAAAUAAUAAUAGGAUAAUUUCACUUAAAAAAAUAUGGCUACUCCUCCAAUUAAAAUUCACCAAAAUUAAUCAAAGGAUAAACAUAAUCUUUGCAGUGGAAACUUAAACAUAAUUUGUGAAUUUUACCCAAAAGAAAAUUCUCCUCAAAACUUAUUAUAUUUGAGCCACUAAUCAAUUUACAAAAAUAAUAAAAAUUGCUGGAAAAAGAAAAAGAAAAAAAAAAGGCUCAAACUUUUCCUUUCUUUCAACCUAACCGCAGAAACGGCCCAGCCCAGCUCGCGUAGGAGCGCUCGUCUCAGCCACGAAAAUGGCCCAGCAAAAGCUGCCUAGCUAGCCCUUUUCUUUCACUUGGACGCGCUCCGGCUAAAACCUACUAUGCCGGCAGCCCGCGUAAGAAUACGGCUCAGCCUGGCAGUCAAUCUCGCCUCCACGGCUUAGCAGGCCACAACCUGGGCCUGGUCCGGGAAAGCUCUCACCCGCCUGGGCUGCAUCCGGUCCAUUAUCUCUGAGCCAUUGGAUUUGAUCAGUCGGCUGUACGCUAUUCUCGGAGGAUCAAAACCCCCCGGCAGACGCCUCCUGGUAAACCCUAGCACCAUUUCUUCUUUCCUUCCUCCUUUCUCCAGCGCCGCCGCAUGAGAGCCGACCGAUGCUGGCCCGUGGCGGACCCGAGCGGGAGGUCGAGCGCCGGCAAGUGAGAGGAAAGUCCGGUGGCACAGCAGAGCGCGGCCCCGGAGCGUCGUCGUUGCCGCCAUCGUCGACCCCUUCGUCGGCGCGCGCGCUCGCCUUCAGGUGAGCACACCGCCGUCGAGUGGCUUAGCGGCGGCGCCUUAGGCGGUCGUCUCUGUCCAGUGCGGAGGCCCUUCCCGGAGUACUCCGGUGAGUAGAGGCCGGCGAGGAAAGCCGCCUCCUUAACCCUUCUUGUUUCCUCUUGGUCUACCGGCGGUCGUCGGUUCAAGAUCCAGCGGCCAACGUCUCGUUCUUGCGGCGUGGUGCCGCCGGUGGUCGUCGAUGAAAUCAGCGGCCGCCGCUCAUCUAAAAAUGUUUCUGAAAAUUUAUUAACUCGAAAUCAAAACUCCUAUCCUUCUAAAUUCUUUCGGUUACUAAUCUUCCCUGAGUAGAUCUACACCAUAGUACUAGCUCUGAUACCAUUGUUAGAAGUUUAGGAUCAUCUAGGGUAGAUCAGUGGGUGAAUUGCUUACUCAGUUUUGUUCAAAUCAAGUAACAGCGGACUUAGGAGAAGUAGGCAGAGAGAGAGAGAGAGUAGAGAUAGAGGGAGAGGUCCAUACCUUCUAAGUAGGCAGAGGAGGUAGACGAGGAAGAAGCUACCAUGGCAGCGAGUACGCAGUGCGGGGCGGCAAUGUCCGGUGCGGCGGUGAAGGUGAUGGCGCUUCCCGUCGCUCACAGUGCCCCUCUCGAUCGGUCUAGGGUUAGGAACUUCGGUGGUGGGUUGGCGGCUCAGAUCAACCUCGUGUCUUGUGCCCCAGCCCCCACCAUCCUUUUAUGGUGCUGCAUGAUAGGGGCCCGUCAACCAGAAGAAUCGGCUGAGCGCGUCCGAUCGGGGCGCGGACCAAGGUUCCAAUUGGUCGUUGGGCCAACUGGUGGAGAUCAAACUAACAAGAUUUUGAUCGGUGUUUAAUUUGGUCCCUCCACAGAGUUGUGGGUGUCAGCGAUCUCCUUGCGAGGUUUGUUUUCCACCUUCUCAUGUGUGCGGCUUGGUGUUCAACGAUCCCCUUUGUGGGUCUGAUGUUCAUCGAUUGAGGUUUGCCGGUGAGGUGACCGGUGAUAGAUCCCGAUGAUGACGAGGAGGAGGCAUUCAAUGGAUAGUGUAGUUUGCUGUUUGCCAAUGCGUUCAAUGGAUCAAUAGCAAACAUUCGACGUGCCACAUAUGGAUUUUUUAAAAAUUGAAGGGUCUUUGGAUUUUCUAAAAAUUGAAGGGUCUUUGUCGAUCUGGGCCACGAACUUCGAGCAUGAUUAGUUCUGCCCUGUCAAAACUAAUUAGUUAAACUUUUGCACUUAUUUGAUUGGCACCCAACCAAAUCCUAUUCUAGAAUUCUUAACCAAAUCCAAGUUUUGGUAUGGUAUGCCCAUAUUUUGACCUGCCCAAAUUUAGUAUGGCAAAUUUUGGUCACCAACCAAUCAGGCUCGCGCACAACCUUCUCGACGUCGAGCGCCUCGUCACCGUCGUCGUCCUGCGGCAGGGUCGGGAUGAACGGCGGGCGCGUGAUUUGGAGGAUGCGAUCCCAGUCGACGCCUCGGAAGAACGGGUGCGCCUUGACGCCAUGCGCGCCGAUGCGUUUCUCAGGAUCCUUCUCGAGGAGGCAGGCGAUGUACAUCCUUGGUAUGUUUUUUACUAUGGGAGGUGAACUUCGAGGCUGCGGUGGGAAUGGGAUGACAGCAGAGGCCACAAGAAGCACCUCAAAGGAUCUAUACAUUUAUUCUUUAGGGGUGGCCUUGUAGGGGUUGGAUGUAAAAGCACUUUAUCUUAAUCCAACCCGUUCUUGAAAAAAUAAGUGCAACUAAUUAUUUUUAUGUUUGUUUUUAUGUGUUUCUUUAUUCUAAUAUGUUUAAGUAAUCAUGUUUAUUAGAUUCUAACUUUUUACAUUUAUACAUGCUUCAACAUUCUUAUAAACUUGGUUUAACAAUUUGUGAGACCUAAGUCAACAUUUAGAAUAAACUGAUUUAACAUUUCGGCGUUUGUUCUUUAUUGUCAUCCGGCGUGAAUUAACGUAUCCUCUCACCGGUUCAUACUACUAACUGGUAGUAGGGAUAACAUAUUGCCCUCCCAUUUAAUUAGUUAAUCUACUAGGAUCGUGCCCGUGCGUUGCUAUGGGCAAUUUAUAUUCUAUCUUACUGGAAGAAACAAAUUCAGUAUAUAAUUUUAAUUACACUUCAUUAUGUUACUGACGUAUGGCGGUCCAAAACAUACAUCACACACCAACACAUCUUAUUUUAUAGAUGAAGCAUAUAUGACAUCUCAUAUUCAUCCCUAUGCACAAGAAAACAUAUAAUUUUUUACCCUUGCUGUUCAGUGAUGAACAUCGUGCUGAUCUAUAAGAGAUCAAAUGAUGUCAUUGUGCCUAGCUACAGGAAAAAAAUGUGCGCCAAAAUAGAAAGGUCAAGCAUAUAUAUUUGAAACCUUUUGAUUCCCUACACCAAUAAUUGUAAAAUAGAAAGGUAAAUAAGUAAUAAAAAAACAUCUCUGGCUGGAGCAAAUGGCUUAAGCUCCAGCAUCACUUUCGGUUGCAUCAUUAGGAAAGUUAGCUUGCACAUGAGACAAAUGUAUCACACUUAUCCUAUUCUCCAAUCUCCAUAGUUCUGAUUGAGUAAAACUAAAGUUUGCUCCCCAUAAUUCCACCAUAGUUUCGUUGUGCUAAUAGGAUCAGCUCCGCUACAACGUGCUUCCUCUGACAACAGACGACAACAUCUUCCUAAAUCACCAGCAAAUUUGAUUCCAUUCUCGGCACCAACAUACACUGGUAUGCUCUCCAACCUGUUGAAAGUAUUGCCUCUAUUGUAGAUGUAUUUUAAGAAUUGUUCAAUGAUCAAUGCAGUGUAAUCAUUGACUCACUCCAAGAUCUUAGACAGUUUGUUCACAUAAAUAGUCAGUAUGAGGACCUGGUGGUGUAUUUCAGACUUUUGACACCAAUGUAGUAAUGAAAAGUUUCAUCUACCUUAUCAUGGACCCAGUGCCACCACCAGCAGAAUCUAGAGCAUUACCUUGACAAAGAAAGCAUAUGGUUUAGAUCAUUAUGACAAUAACGCACAUAACAAGAACUAAAUUCUGCAGGCCACAAGAAACCAAAGUAACCAUCCUUCUUUCAGACUUCGUUCAUGUGAUGAUUACUGCAAAAAAUAAAAAAUAAAAUCUCCUGAGGCAUAAAGAUAGAUCAAAGGAUCAUGAAGAGAGAACUACCCCAAUCAUCAAUAGCAAAACACCACCAAACAUUUGGUAGCCAGAGACAUAUGUAAAUAUAAAAUCCCGCAACUCCUAUGACCAUGAACAUAAAAUUGGAGGGAAGCCACAUGCUCACUCAAUCUAUCAUGAUCAGCUAAAAAUGUGCAAAGAGAUCACACACGCACAAAAAGGGUAUGACUUGGCAUUCGCCAAUGCUCAGGUUUGCCAAGACAACCAAUAUUUCUUAACUUGUACUUUCGUCCAUUUCAAAAACAUAGGGCACUGCAGUAUGCAAGACACCGAAACAUGAAAACAUUCUCACAUGCCUCUCCACUAACAUUCAGUGCUCUGAUGACUGCAAAGGCUCCCCUGCAUGCUCCUCAUCCAUGGUAACUAUCCUGUCUGAAUUUCAAAAAAAAAAGCAUGUGGGUGAGGACUCCUGCACAAAAAAAAAAAUCUAACAGCUAAAAUAACCAGGUCUAGUGAUGUCUUCAUCCGCAAAUCAAAUACUACUAAUCUACUGCAGCAAUGAUUAGCAUCAAGGAAAGAGAAAUAUUCAGUAUUGUUCAGAUAGCACCUUCUGUCUCCUCUGAUUUGUGAGUAGUAGGAGCUACAAGCACACCACCAUUACCAGAAAUAUCACGAGCAAAUUCUUUCACAAGUUUGGUUAAAACUUUAGCCGAUGCGUAGGUGGCGACGGGAGCAGAUCGAGGGAGUCCUCCCCCACGGACCAGCAGCAGCCUCCAUGGCCCAAACCCUUGAUCAGAACUGAAAUCAUUUUGGGAAAUCAGAGAGGGAGAGAGGAAGAGAGGGAGGGAGAGAGAUUCCUGACCAUCGCUGGAGGAGGUCGCGAGGAGCAGCAUCAAUAGGAGGCCCCCUCGCUCCAGCAACUCCGGGUGCACAACCCCAACUCCGCCGGGACGCCGUGCGCGAGUAUGUCCCCUUCCCUGGGUCCUCCUGCGCGGAGGAUCCCAUCCCCGGCGGCUCACGCACGGAGGUUCUUGUUGCCGGCUGCGUGGAGGGAUUACCUGGCAGUCGGCGGCGGCGGCGGUGAGAAGAGGAGACUCAGCAAGACGCGGCGGCAGCGCGGUGUGCCUGGUAGGCGGGUGGCAGUGUCUCACCUGCGGACGGCGCCCGGUGGAUCUCGAGGUGGUCCUUCCCCGCUGACGGCGCCCAGUGGAUCCGGAGGUGGUCCUCCACCGCGGGCAGGCGGUGGCGCGGCCGGCGGAGCAAGCGGUGGUGAGGCGGCGGUGCGCAGGACGCGGCGCCGCGUGGCAGAUGGAGGCGGCGCAGGGCGAGGAGGCGUGGACCAGAGGGGCGGCAUAGGAGGCGCGGGCGGCGGUGGCAGUGCGGCAGGAGGCCUCGGGCGACGCGGAAGGGGCGGCGAAGGAGGCGCGUGCGGCGGCGGCAGUGCGGCAGGAGACCUAGGGCGACGCGGGGCCGAAUGGCACUCGGGCCUCGGGGGUGGCGGCGGAUGGGAGGCGGCAGGAGGCCUCCGGGGACGCGGAGAGGACCAGCAAGGAUGAAGGGCCUAGAUUGGCGCUUCUGAUGCGGACGGUGGAGAAUCAAUUUACCGCGGGACGACGAGGGAGGCGGAGGAAAAGACGUACGAAUAAAAGUCUUACUUUUACUUUUUUUAGGAGUAGAGAUUGCCACCAGCUUAUGUUAAUUAUAAACCAACAAUUAGUAAUGCCUUACCAUAACUAGCUUUAAGAAAAUGGUAGUGAUACGCGGGGGGCGCGGGAUAUGUUUUCUUAGGCCAACCCUAAUAAAAAAUUUCGUUUUGUUGUUUUCAAGAGUUGGACCAAUCAAUAAAAUAGAAACAAAAUCAUGGAUGAAUCAUAGACUUACAUGGCAUUUAAUUCUAAGAUUCAUCAAAGAGUUAGAAACCGCAUACACAUGGUUUCAUUUAGAUAAAUUAUGAUUUCAUCUCUGCUAUCUAUUAUCUUAAUAUAAUAGUAUUAAAAGAAUCCACCAGGUUCGUCAAGAGGAUUUAGAAAUUCCCACGUUAACUGAAAAAAGAGAAGAAUUUAAAUAGUUGGAUUUUAUGAUGAUCUAAUGGUCUAAACUAGCCCAUAGAGUCCCUGAAUAAUACGAUUAAAAAAUAGAUAAAUUUAAAUUAAAAAAAUAGUCUUUGACGAAUGACGACCCUGUUCUACAACCCGGCGGCGACGAAGCUGUCCCCGAACGACGUGUUCGGCGUGGCGUUCAACGGCGGUUUCAACCAGCCCAAAGAGCCUAAGCAGAUGACGCUGCAGGUCAGGGGCAGCGUCGACCCGCCCAUCUACUCCAUCAGGAUACACGUCCCGCAGCACGGUGCGUCGCCGGCGCCCGUUGGCCUCUCUUUCUUUCAAGUUUCAACUCACCUUCAUCUUAUCCUAGGAAGCACGAGCAGACAUGUUGCUGUUGUUGUUUGUAUAUGUUUGCUGCAGCCAGGAGCCUGAUCUUCUCCUUCACCAACGGGGCCGAGUGGGACCAGGCCAUCUACCCUGACGAGAACAUCGCCAUCACCAGCUGCGCCAUGGACGGCUACUACGGAGAGGGGGUGGGUUAACCAUUCACCCACUACUCAUCACCCUCUGCACCUCUGCUCUGUUCUCUAGCAGUGCUUGCAAGAUUCAUGACUACAACUCUAACAGCUUUGAAAGAGCAAGAGUUUAAGGGGGUGUUUGGAUCCCCGAGCUAAACUUUAGCCCCUGUCACAUCGAAUAUUUGGACACUAAUUAGGAGUAUUAAACAUAUGCUAAUUACAAAACCAAUUUCACAACCCCUAGGCUAAAUCGCGAGACAAAUCUAUUAAGCCUAAUUAGUCUAUGAUUUGACAAUAUGGUGCUACAGUAAACAUUCACUAAUGAUGGGUUAAUUAGGCUUAAUAAAUUCGUCUCGCGAUUUAGCCUAGGGGUUCUGAAAUUAGUUUUGUAAUUAGUUCAUGUUUAGUCCUUCUAAUUAGCAUCCGAAUAUCUAACGUGACACGGACUAAACUUUAGCUCUAGGAUCCAAACACCCUCUUAAGUAGUAUUACAAGCAACAGACAUGGCCAGUUGUUGCCUUAUUUAGACGACAAGCCUACCAUCGGCUAUAUCUUCAAGGUGCUCCACGGCAAAGACCUCCUUCAGUCAUGUAUCAUGACAGCCGCCCCACCAUCAUCCAUAGGGCCAGGUUCAUGAUGGGGAAUUCAGCAUUGUGAGUAUGCGCAAGACGUGAUUGGGUGGACUGUUCGGUUAAGCGAUUUUCAUCAGGAGCUCCUCGAUCGGCUGAAUCAGCACCUUCUUCUGGGUAUCCGGACUGCAUUGACGUCAACCUGCACGCUAAGGGUAAGGCCACGCGCUCAGCCCUAAAAAUACGGGCCUAACAAAUUAGUGAGUGAGUCCUAUAAACAGACUGUUUCAUCGACCAUGAAUCUCGAUUACAAAGUGCUAACACGUACUAACGAAGAGUUCAGAGAGCACAUGGUAUACGGGAUUGUACUUCAAGGAGCACAGGAUGCGGACGAGCUGGAUGAGCCUCUAUUAAAUGGUGCAAAGAUGGAAAUUGAACCAGAAAAAUGAAGGAAGAGAUGGGAGAGGAAUAGGAUGAUGAAUAUCUGUGCGGUUUGUGGGCAAUGAAAACAGCCAUCCGCAUAGAGUGCGGCAAGAGCUCCGUAGAAAAGCAUCUGCAGAUAUGAACAUUUAGCCAAAGACAUGCAAGCGGCCCGUGGUGAUCGAUUGAGUUCAUGCGCAUUAUUGUCACGGAGCCAAAAAAAAAACAUUGGGUGGAAGCUACUCUGAACUUCUUGGCUGGACGGCUUGCAUGUCGCCACCUCACGAAGAGCAUCGUCAAGAAUAUCCAGGUGGACAGGGACAUCAAGCCUCGCUCCCUCACCUGGUUUCCUCACUCGGCGAGGAUACAACGCUCUAAUUAAUUAAGACCGCAAGCUUAGCUUGCAUGUUUCUCGAGGAUGAUUUGUCCGAAGUCAGAUCACAUGUCAACUUAGAUUUUUUUUUUAUAAAAGAAUUGUGCAUCUUUAGAUUAAUUAAUAAAUAAAUAAAUUCAAUCAUUACAUCGUGCAAUGCAUGUCCUGCACACGGAAGACUAGCUACACAAGUUCGAAGCGGUGAGGCCACCCAAUGUGACGAAAUUCCGAUAAAUAAUCAAGAAUUUUUUUUGCCAGGCAGAAUGCAGCGACAAAAGCUUAGGCCUUCCUGGUCACUGGUAGGCCAUUUCAAAGCAAGAAGCACAAUCUAAAAAUAUAUAAUACUCCCUCCAGCCUCCAUCCUAAAAUACUAUUUAUUUUACUAUGUAUCUAGACAUAGUAUAUAUCUAGCUGCAUAUUAAAAGUUAUGUACCUAAAAAGUCAAAACAAUAGUAAUUAGGAUGGAGAGAGAACAUUUUAAUCAAUCCACGGAAGGACACCGACAUGCAGAAAAAACAAGUAAUGCUAAAAAAAUUAGCAUAUUAGCAGGAUAGAAAGGGCCAACUCUUGGAAAGUUUAGCCUGAUGCGGUGUGUGGGGGUAAGAUUUGUUGGGGCAGCCAUGGAGAGGCGCAAACUUAAUAUAAGAAAACGGGAACAAUUACAGCAAAAGGAAUGAGAGAAAAACAUCCCUAGCAUGGCCAGGGGAGAAAAGGGGUUAGAUUCUAAGAGGGUGAUGACGAGUUGACAACCAUGGUAAAUAACCGUGAGCUGGCCAUAUAGAAUCAUAGCUCAAUAGCAGAAUACGGAGAAUAACAGCACAAUCAGAAGGUAAAAGAGAAGAGUAGUAGCCAGUAGUGCUAAGAACUUCUUAGGAUUUCAAUUUGAAAAGCGAUGGGUGGAUGGCCAACUUGGAGAGUGCAAUGAUAACCAGCAUAUGGGGUUUCGGGGCAUGAUAAUGACAACUCGGUUAUACAACCAUGCCAAUGCUGCAAUGUGAUCCCAUCUUCAUCGCCAGGUAAUGACCUAAUAUCAUAGCUGGCGUCAAGGCAUAGCUGGCGUCAAGGCAUGGCGAUCACCACCGAUGAUGAUGGCAAGCAGCGAGAUGGUGAUGUCUUGCUGUUUAACAUUUUGAUCAGUGGAUGCCUGAGAGCUAAAAAAAAUUAGGAGAGAAGAACGAUGAUGUGGUCAAGGAGUGAUGAUCUGAUCUAAACAAAGCAACUCGAAGACGAUGUUUUGACAUGCUCGCACGUCAAUAUCAACCUGCAUGUAGUGUUCGAAGAGAUGGAACCACAAGCACCAUCUCGGACGUGUCCUUGAUGACUGCAUUGUAGCGGAGACAACUUGUUGGGAGUAGAAGUAGGAGAGAAGGGGUGCGCAACAUUGAAUUUGUUGAUUCUGCGAACGGUUCGUUUCGGAGGAAAUGUGCAACGUCUGUAAGUCAAGGAGAUCAUGCAUUCAUGGCUCUAGCAAGCGAGGAUUGCAUAACAAAGAAAAGAAUGGAGAUUUAGAUAUGAUUAAAACUAAAGAGGAUGCAUCCACCAGUGCCAAUGCUCAUUAAGGUUUUGGUUCAAACUCAAACUCACGGUAAACAUUGAACCAUUUACGUAGAUCUCCAUUUCAAAAUGUAAGGAUGAUGUAUCACUAACUAAAACUCUUAAACAAAAAUGUACAUCGCCAACAAAAAAUUAAAAAUAAUAUACCUAUUAUAUAUAUAUAUAUAUAUUACUUUUAAGAAAAACAAAAAUAUAUUUCUAUAUAAGGUAUUUCUUUUUUCUAGAAUUAAUGAUAAGAAAAAUAUUUAACAGAAUAUGAUAUCAAAAAGGCAUUCACAAUACUUUGGAUAAUGUCAUUAAGACAAAAAAAAACUACGUGGCUAAAUAAAAAUAUUUACAUACAUUUAUUUGAAAAAAUACAAAUAAAAAUCUAACUUCCCGCGCUAAUAUGCCACAUUGCUAGUUUCGUAUACUUACAUGGUGCGGGAUGUGUUUUCUUAGUGGCGAUUUCAUGAAACACACGAUGGUAACGGCUAAACCUUCCACCAUGACACAUUACUAGGGCCGGGCCGCAGAAAUAUCCUCCUCAGACAUUAGGCCAUCCUUCUUCGAUCUGUCCUAUCAGUUAUCGAAAAUGCAUGCCACUACCAGCGGUGGUGGACCUUCCAGCCCCCCGAUCAUUGUUCAGGUUGCGAUGUGAGAUCACACACGACAUUAUCUGAUCCAUCUCCAUGCAGAGGAGUGAGACUGUUACAUUCCUGCACAAGUUCUAUCUCGCAAACCUCUCCUUUAAUUUUUCUCCAGUGCGGGUAUCGUUUGCGUCCCACUCGAUCGAUUCCUUCCCGGCCCUCUAUAAACACCGGGCCGUCGUCGUCUUCUAGCUUCAUACCGCAGAGCACGGCAGAGCUUCCAAACUCCCAAAAAUGGCUAGGUCCCUCGCAGCUCUCCUCCUGCUCCUCUUAGUGGGCACUGUCGCUUCAGGAUACCAGUACGAGGAGGGCUCGGUAGGGCGGACGUUCUUCCUCCAGCACGACCUGUACCCGGGCUCCAAUAUGACGCUCCACUUCACCCGCGCCGCCCCGGGAGCCCCGUCGCUCCCGCGCGCCCGCGCCGACGCCAUCCCCUUCACCUCCGCCAAGAUCCCGGAGAUCCUCUCCCUCUUCUCCAUCCCGGCCGGGUCCCCCGCCGCCGCCGCGGUGCGCUCCACCCUGGCCGAGUGCGAGGCCCCGCGGUUCCCGGGCGUGGCGGCGCAGCGCUGCGCCACCUCCUUCGAGUCCAUGGUCGACUUCGCCGCUUCCAGCCUCGGCACCCGAGGCAUCCGCGCGGGGAUGACCAAGCUCAGCAGGGAAGGCGCGACUCCGAGGCAGGCGUACGUGGUGGAGUCCGUCGUGCCGCUGCCGGUGAUUGGCAGGGACAUGGUGGCCUGCCACUGCAUGCCAUACCCCUACGCCGUCUUCGGGUGCCACACCACCACCGCCGCCGUGUUCACGGUGGCCCUCUGACGGCGUGCCACAAGGACGCCACGCCCGGCAUCUUCUGGCCGACGUACAAGAAGCUCGGGGUCACGCCGGGGACCGUGGCGGUGUGCCACUUCCUGCCCCAGGACGGCAAGCUCUGGAUGCGCAAAUGAAAGGCUUCGAACGUACGUGCGUGGCGCCAGCAUCAAGAAAGCAGUGCAUGGAAAAAUAAGUGUGGCUGGUCACGUAUUUCAUCGCCUGUGAACAGGCUACUUGAUCGCUGAUACUUAUUCAAUAUUCAGUGUACUGUAUCGUCUGCGUGUGUGUACGUGUGUAAUUUGUAUACGUAUAUUUUGUAUGCGUGUUGUAUCUAGUAUCUACAUGCUCGCCACAAAGCACUGUAUGGAAAAUUAAGUGGCUGGUCACUUAUUUCAUCGCCUGUCUAUACGUGUGCAAUUAGUGUAGUAGGUAUGUUUAUUUGUAUGCUCAUAUUAGGAUGUCUCGUAAAAGAGUACGUCUAAUACGAGCCAUAUUAGGAUCACAAUCUGAUGGUCAAUUUCUUUUCUUCUACCUCAAGCUGUACCUCUCAUCGCAACUAACAUGCGAAAACCAUUUAAUUGUUUCUUCGUUAACUGAUGAGUUAGUUGAAGCUCAAAAUUAGUGAUGAAAGUGCAAAUCUAACCGAUGAGCAACUGGUCCAUCCAAUCGAACAGCGGACAAUCGAGCAGGACGUGUCAGCUAGAAUUUGGUAAACUGGAACGGUAUAUCAAAUACAAACUGAACACUAAAAAUUCAGUUAAACUCAUCUAUUUCCCCAAACUCAUCGGGAAAAAAAUUUGGGAACACAAGAAAUUCGAAAACAAAAUUAGGAUGAAAAUGGAACAAAAUUUUGAGACAAAAUUUGGAAACAAAAAAAAUUCAAGAAACAACAAUUUAGUGAAAAACUUGGGUAAAAAUUUGGAGACAAAAAUGGAAUCAAAUUUGAGAACAGAAGACAAAAAUGGAAUCAAAUUUGAGAACAGAAAAAAUUAUGACACACAAAUUUUGAAACAAAAAGGAUAGGCGCCGUUCACUCUGGAGCCCGCGGGGGGAGGGGGGCACCUCCCUAGUGGCACAAGCGUGGAACGACGCCGGCGGGUAGCGAUAAUUUCUUUGACAGAGAAUGAGAAAAAACUAGCAGAAAUAUCCGUGCGUUGCUACGGGUUCUUACUUACUCUCACAUUAUUAUUCGUUUGUUUCUAAUAUGUUAGCUUUGCUUCACAAUAUAUUGGUGUUUCGUCCCUAGUAGUCCUCUCUUUGCAAGUACAGUAGUAGAAGACAUUUGUGGGUGGUUUGAUAUUUAUUACGUGUGACCCACACAUGGAGAUAAAAAAAUUUACCGCUUAACCUCCGCUCUAUCCAUUCAUUCGAUUUCCCGCGUACUCAUCGUCAUCCAGCCAGUCGCUGCCUCUUCGUCCAUCAGCGCCACCCGCAUCUUACACCAUCCUCGCCGUCGCCUAGGUGCUGCGCAUCUUGCUGUCCUCGCCAUCGCCCAGGCAAGCGCUCGUCCUCCCCGUGCCUAGCCUCAUUCCCGCUUCGAGCGCUGGACCACAGCGCCUCUGGCCGCCAUGAGUAGGAGUGCGUUCUCCUCUUCUUCUCACUUCAUCCACCUCCCUUCUAUAAUCCACUCCAAAUGGUAGUGUUGAUGGGUUCUUCAACAGAGGAUACACUAAGAUAACACAUAUAUAGGUUUAGAUUAUGUAUAUUAAUUAAUUUUAUGCAUUUUGACAUGUUAAUGUUUAGACGACUUAAUAUACAGCCUAUAUAUCUACAAAGUUAUCUUGUACAAUAGCUAACUCUAUAAUCUCUUAAUUUGCUCAUAGAUAAGAAAACAAUGAGAUCAUAACUUUGCAAUAACGCAACAACAAUAAGUCCUUAGUAUGUUUCCAAAAAAAAUUCCUACACUAGCUAACAAUUGUUGCCUUAACUUGAAUAUAGUUGUAGACUUGCACUUCAAAUCCAGAUGACUUUAAGGUGGCAGGCUUUAUAGUGUCAGGCAAUCAUCUUCAUGAUGAUUAUUUCUUAGUUUGUGAGGUGGCAGGCUGUAUAGUGUCAGGCAUUCAUACCUCGAGGUAUUUGAUCAUAACAGUCUUCUUUCCAGAAUUCAAUGGAGAUUUCAAUAAAUUGUUCAACAAGUUCAUUCAAUCCAAAACCAACAGGCGUCCCUGUAGAUUUUAAAUAAAUGAUCAAGUCAUUGCCAGGGUGAAUAUAUUAUUAAAUACCCAAGAUAUACCACUCAUAGCAUUAUGUUUACUACAAGUAAACUUAACUUCUGAUUAAUAACUUCAGGUUGUUUCUCCUAAUUCUAAUUUCUAAUUUUCCAUUUGUGAGUAUUCAUUAUGUGCACAUUCUCACUGGGAUAAGUCCUUCAGGGAGUUUCACUGUGUGUUUCCACAUUAAGUGGUGCCCUUCAUGGGCAUCUUCACAUUUUGUUUUUUAUAGCAUUAUACUUCACUUCAUGCGAGUAUGACUUAGUGCGUGUUUCUAUUCCCGCUUCAAGCUUCCAAGAAUAUUAUGAAGAUCAUUCUUUCAUUCAAUACAAGGCAUUCAUAUGGGCUUUCUCUCCCUCUAAUGCUGGUAUUAGAUCUUCAUAAAUAGCAUACUUCCAAUGAUAUCCCCAUGAGCUUAAUGUAAUGGAAAUUCAUAUCCAUAUUUCUUCAACUUCAAGUUGAUUCCCAUUUGUAUGCUAAAAUGGUGAAAUAAAAUUUCAUGCACUUUAUUAUAAACUUUAGGGGUUUUUGUUAUGCAGUGAGCUAGACUUCAUUAAUAUAUUUGGCAGUUUAGUAUGUUCUGCAUACAAAUAUCUGUACAUCUUGAGUCUACAGAACUAUUCUAUUGUCUAGCUUCUUUACAUAUUUAGCCCAAAAUAUUCAUCCGAAUACUCAUACCAUAUACUUCAAGUAAUUUUGAUAAUUAAACUUCAAGUUUAAAAUUUAUGCAAAAUAUAAUCUACAUGGAAUUUCUUCUGGAAAAUUUAAUUGCCUUUUCAUUCAAGAAUUCCCCAGUUGCUUUCGAAUCCAUAAUAUAAAAUAGUUUUCCACACAACAGACUAAAAUGUCCAUUUUCUUUUUCUUUUUUCCACAAACCCAUUCUAAUUGGGCUAACCAAUUUCUAAUUGGAUAAAUUUCCUAUCAGGUCAAUUCUAGACCAGUUUGCUCCCCCUUAUCUUAGCCUUCUUAACUAAAGAUUAAUUAAUAACUACUAGUCAUUUUGCACACAUAUAUAAUAUAUUGAUUUGUCAGCAUGCUAGCUAGUUGAUAGAGUGUUAUGAUAGCUUGCUAGCCAUCUUGUCAGAGUGGGAGCUACUUCUCAACAAGAGAAGUUUUGAAUGAGCACAGCAUGUAAGCUAGGUCAAUGAUAGGAAUAGCAUGAUAGCUACAAGCCAACAUGAAUUGAACUUUGAUGUGAUGUCCAUAUGUAAAGACUUCUGAUUAAUGUGGUGAUAUUUAGGUCCUCACAUUAGUGUGGAAUAACUACUAACUUUGUCAUUCUAAGUGACAUAGAGAUAUCAGGAUUACAAAGCUACAAAGAGCUACAUGCUUAGUCAUUACAAUGACUAUGGCUACGGGCCAACUUGCGUGUUGAUGAGGCUCUAAACCAAUAAUCUAACAGGAUUAGGGACAUGCCUAUUAAAAUAUUUUAUUUUCAAAUUUAUCCACAUUCUUCAUAUACACAUGUCUCUAUAUCCCAAAUUUCUCCCCUUUUUCAUACCAUAAUUGCACUUCAGGUGGUGCUAUGCUUCCAGCAUGAUCUAUGAAUUAUUUUAAAUAUUCCACAUAAUUAAAUUAUACUGCUAGUAUAUCCAUGAUAUGGUAUGGAAUCCAUAUAGUUGUACUAUUUAGUGUACAAUAUAGUUAUGGGACUUCUGUAUUCAGUACAUAGUUGAGUAAUAUAUAUUUUCAUGGCUAAAUUGAAUCUUCUAAAUUCAAUUAAAAGGUAUAUAUAUUACUGGUUAGUGUGCUUCAUGGAAAUUCCAUUUCCAUUCUACCUACAUGGUAGCAAUGCACAGUAACUGCAACCUAAAUGGUUACUUGAGACUUUAAUGGAAAAAUCAUUUCAAAUGAUUUAUCAAAUAGGUAAUUGAAAGCAAUUAUUUACAAUAUUCAGUAUGUAAUUCUUCUAUAGAUUCAAUGAGAUUAAAGUGAUUACUACAGGUAAAAGUUGCUACAAGCAAGUGGGCAUAAGAUAAGGUGAGAAAAACCUAUACAGAGGUAAGAAACACCAAUUUGUUUAAUUUGCCCUUCUAUUCUGGGAAAGAUUCUUAAACUAAUGCUAAACUUCCGGUCUUAUAGCGAAAGGUAAGUGCUUAAACUUCAUGAGUAUAAACAAACUCUUCAGGAAUAUAACUUAAUAAUGCAACUUAUGUAGGAAAUUCUAGUUAUAAGUUAUAGGGUGAGUAUGAAACUUAUUUAUUUCAAUGCAUCUCCCCCUGAGCCUAACAUUACUUUGGGAAUGUACAUUAUUUCCCUUCCACUUAUGUGUUUUAUACAACUUCUGGUUGCAUAAUAUUUUCUAUAUUGAGUUUAUGCAUAUUCUUCUUGAAUUGCAAAAAUGCCAAUGUGGCAACACAAUAUGAUUCUUCAUAACUUCAUGUCAUGUAUAAACUCAAAUAGUUGGCAUGCUUCUUAAGAAUUUACUGCUGUGGUAAAAUCAUAAUGCCAUGUUGGGAAGUAAAUGCGUUGAUUUCAAUCAACUAAAUAACUUGCAGACAUAUAUAGCAUUUCUUCUAAAAAUUUCAUGGUGCUAGGCUUGAAACCAAUAUUAAGUUUCUUCAAGAAACAAUGGACUUCAUGUCACAUCCUACAUUAUUCAUGCAAUUGCUAUAGGCACACUUCAUGUGUUUAAAUGCAUGAAACAAUUGCAAAAUUAAUUAAUGUUGGUUAAUCUAUUCAAUUGACAAUUUAUAUUAUUUCCCAGAAUUUUCCUAGCAAAAAUAUUUACCCCAUUCACACAAUUGCUAGGAAAAAUAUAUAAAUAUGACACUCUCAGGGUAUUUUGUCUAAGGUUCUUCAAGAUUGAGAGAGGUCAUAAGCCUAAAACCAUUUUCUAUGAUUAAAGGUAAUUUUCUAGCCACUUUAGGAAUUAAUGGUUGAUCUUUCAAAAUUAUAUAUACAUUAAACAUGCUAGAAAAAGUUCAAAUGAGCCUCAAAAGGGGGUUUUCAAAAUUUAGAGAACUCAUAUACCUAAAACCAUGUUUCUAUGAUUAAAGGUAUUAUUUACUGCAUUUAUGCGCAAUUAUAACAAUAUACCAUAAAACAAUAAAUAUAUUUCAUAAAUACCAAUUUACAGAAGGUGCAAUCUGUAAAUAACAUUAACUUUCUUUAUCUAGCGCAGAAAACGAAUUCUCAGAUAUUGAAUAAGUCCAGAGGUUUUCUGCAAAAUUCAACCGUUCACAUCCUUUUUUUAUUUGUAUCCGCGUGGGGCCUUCAUGUGCUCGCCAGGCCGGCUUUUGGGCCCAUACCUCCGCCUCUCUCUCCACCCCUGUUCUCCUCUCCGGCACGGCCGGUAUCGCUCUGCUCGGCGUGCGGCACCGGCGGCGGGGUCUGUGGCUACUAGCCCAGGGGUGGAGCCAGCAUGAUGCCUUGGUAUUCCUAGGAAUACCCAACACUUGCGCAAACAAACGGAGUAUAUGUCAUGCAUACCUGUGUAUACUUCUAGCUGGACCAAUUAUUUUGCUUCUUAGUGAGUAACAAGCUUAUCUAUCAGCCAACCAAGCAGCUGCAAAAACGUUAGGCCUACAAGGCUUCAGCCAAAUCAGUCCACACUUGAUGCCCAACAUGCUCGACUGAUCUCCAGUUUGUCAACUCCAAGUCGCCGGCCGUAGCGCACGGUCCGUCUGGCCUCCUACGUGUUCUCUCUUUCCAAGUCAGCAAGGAAAUGGCUCGGGCAAGCAGGAGAGACUUGAGCCCGUAAGCAGCACGCCGGAGGAUCCGACUAAAGGUGGAGCUCGGAGAGCAGAGCACGUCACAUGAGUAGCACUGUAGCAAGCUCCAAGACUGCACCUAGCAGUCUAGCACCCUAGGAGCAGGUAGCAGCGACCAGCAAGCGGGAGGCCAGAAAUGUGUUGCCCGUUGAGAAACUUUGCGCACAUCAUAUUGCACAAAAUUGCGAUUAAUUUGUGGUUAUUUAGUAUAAUGUUAAUCUAUACAUGGUGCAUACAUGUAUGUGUGUUCAAUUUUUAUGUAGAUCGUAGCUUUGCCCAAUGAAGAAGCGCCAGUCGAUUGAUUCAAAAAGUAGUACUCCGUAUGUCAGAGAGCUGAAAGAAGACACGAAACAUAGAUUCACCUGCAGCUUGUUAGCAAGCAAUAAAUGAACCUCAGAUGGCUUUAAUUUUUACAUAUCCGUAUCAACCGUACGUACUUUAAGGCUAAUCCCAGUGGGAGUUUCAUAGAGGUUUCAUGCACAUUAAAUACGGUGACACAUCAGCAUAUGUGAUGACAUGGCAUGGUAGUUAUGAAGUGAGAGAGGGAAGGAGUUUCAUCAGGAUGAAACUGUGUAUACACUGUUUCCAAGACUAUGAAACCUAUUGAAACUUGCAUUGGGGGCUAUAGAGUUUCAUUUCAUCUAACCAUAUCCAAUCACAUGCCUCACAAUUAAAUGUCAUUGGUAUCCUAUGAAAUCGUGAAAUGAAACUGUGCACUGGGACUCCCUGUUUCAUUCAUAAGAAUAUACCUCAUGGGAUGAUGUGGCAUCCUUGGAAACAGUGCAAUGAAACCUUGCACUGGAACUAGCCUAAGUCGUACUAAAGUAGACCUCUUUCCACCUUGGGAAUACCCAGCCUUCGAAUCCUGGCUCCGCCACUGUACUAGGCACAGCGUGAAGGUGGCGCGACAGCUUCAGGUGGAGCGUGCGACGGCGGCUUGCGACAGGCGGCUGUGGGCGGCAGCGGGUGGGAGCGGAGCGGCUGCGGGCCACGUCGAGGCGACGGCACGGCUUCAUGCCGCAUCAGGGCAGUAGUGCUGCUGCGGGAGGCGGUGGGGCUCGGCUCGGCUUCAGGCGAUGCCGUGGUGGCUGUGCUGGCUGCGUUGCUCCGCAACCGUGGGUAGCGGCGCGGCGCUCGUCUUCUGGCGGAGCCCAUGUGCGGAUGACUAGUUCAGAUCGCGUGCAGGCGGUGAGUCCGGAUUGCGUACAAGUGGUGAUUCCAUUCGGCCGGCGGCGCACGCGUCAAAGUCCCGACGCCCCGAAGGUAGGUCUAAAGCCUAAAGGGUCUCUGACUCACGGUGUGAAGGGCCUAAAGUAAAGGCUUAAAGGACCGGCCGGGUGUUGAUUCUAUAUUCUCUGUGACUCUGUCGCACAUCUAAAGGGCCGGCCGGGGAUCUUUCUGUACCUGUACGCUGUACGCGGAUGCGCUACUGCUGUAUGCCUGUAUACCUCGGGUCCUGAGCUGGACCCCUCCCUCCCGUGGCCCCUAGCAUCGCACCUCCGGCACCCUUCAGGGCCGGCACUCCUGGCCUGCAUCGUAGCGAAUACGGCUGCGCUAUAAGUCGCGUGCAGGCGGCGAUGCGGGUUCACAGCUGCUGGCUGCAGCGGGCCAGCGGUCACCGCUAUGGGCGGUGGCGCGAAGACGGCGGGGCGCUCGAUGCUGGCCACGAGUUCGGCGCGGCCUCUGCUACGGGCGAUGCUUGGAUCCGGUCUCGGCUGCGGGUGGGACUUGAACUCAUCCUCGGCUACGGGCGGGACACGUCACACGGAUUCAUCCUCAUUUGCGGGUGGGGUUCCUGUGGCGCUCGACUGCAGGCGGGCGGCGGUGUGUUAUGCAGCGGUGUCGAUUUGCGCUUGUGGACGGACUGUUCUGGCGACAGGUUCAGCUCGGAUGUUGGGGAGCGCACAGCUUCAGGUGGCGGCUCACGGCUGCAGGGCUCCAGGCACCAUGUGUCCGUGUUUGGGUAACGAAUAUUCAGAUUGAUUUGUGCAGGAGCAGGACUACCGACCUGCAAGUCGGAUCGAUAUUCAGAUCGAUCCGUAGCCAUUGAAACACAUACAAAAAAGCACAAACCUCCCCGUUUCUAUUUUUUUAGUCCAAGCUCAAGGUUGUCAAUCACUCGACGUGCAGGCCGGUGACCCAGGGCGUUGAUCGUGCAAGAUCAACCUAGCUUUCAUCUACUACUUGGUAGGUUCGUUUUAGCGGAUUAAACCACCCAACACGAAGUUUGGUUCCAUAGAUCUAAAACACGUGCUGAUAACGUGUUGUAAAACACAUCGUCAGCGGUUGGAUCUUCUCCUUCUCACGCUUCUCACAACAAGCACACGAAUAGUAGAAAGUAGAUAAGGUGCAAGAGGGACUAUUCAUUAUUUUUUGAAUGUCGAUGAGUUUUGGUAAGAGCCAACAAGCAACCGGAUCAUGACUAGGACUUCUAGUCUUCCUUUCCUUCUAGGAUUUUAGAGUCCGGUUGUUUUAUAACAAUACGUACUCUCACCAUAUACUCAUAAUCUUGUAGUGGAAUUGCCAUAACUGUUUUAUCUGGACUCCAAAAUUGGUCAUCCAAAUGACCAUAUAAUCUUUUCAGCUAUGUAUUUUUUCUUGGUACAUUUGAAUACACGAUUUUACCUGAUUUUGGUGUCGUUCCAUGUGCCAAUUUAUGUCAUCAAUGAAAUCAUGCCGAAAAUGUCUAAAUAUAAUGCUUAUAACGUGCAAAACUUGGAGAUUAAUAAGUGUUAAUUUCAAAUUUUCCAAUUUUGAUCGUCAAUGAUUCCAAGUGUGGCAAUGAGUAAAUGAGAGUACAUCGAAUCGUUCUUUUGAAAAUAAUACUCCCUCCGUUCCAGAAUAUAACUAGUUUUAGAGUUUUUCAGACAGAGUAAGGACAUAGAUUAAAAGUCUAUAAUGCUCUUCAUUAGUUUUCAAACGCUAAUUAAGAGAAUAAUUAUACCUUUCCUAUUUAAUUGGAGGCAGGCUUGCAUGCAGAUAUGCAUGCCAUAAUUGUUUCGCACGCAUGGAGGGCAUUUUAGACCUGUCAUACCAAAUAACCCACUUGCAAACUCAAAGAUGGCUAUAUUAUAGGACAAAAUUUGAAUACUAAAAGUAGCUAUAUUUUGGGAUGGAGGUAAUAGUAUGCAUUAUGCUUACAUACAUGAGUUAUGCAGCGAGAUUAAUAAAAAAAGUAGUGCUCCAUUAAGGCCAGUCUCAGUGCACAGUUUCAUUGCACUGUUAUCAGAUUGGGUACUUGGUAACUGAGCCAGAUGGGUUUUAUGGGAAUGAAACUCCUCUCUCAUCUGAUGAAACUCACCCUCCUCUCUCCUCAUAAUGAUUGUGCCAAGUUAGCAAAAUUGCUGAUAUGGCAUAGAACUUAAACCAGACCAAGAUUUGUAACCUUUAAUGGUGACGGGCUUUGUUAAAAUCUGUCACUUUUACUACAAGUGACGAGCGGGAACAAUACCCAUCACUUUUGACUCACUACAACGGUGACAUGCUUUGUUUGUAGCAUGUAACAUUUGUCUUGUUCCCUAUCUUAGUAGGGAAGCACCUUAGUUUCAAAAUCAACCAAGUUAAUGUUAUCCACUUGAGGCCAACGAAGACUUAGCGAACUAUGCCAUAGCGGAGCCCAUCCACUAGCACCAUAAAAGUAACUAGCAAAUGCUUAGAAGGUGUUUGGUAGCACUCCACCUCACAAAAAUCGGCUCUACUCUAUCAGCUCCAAACUUUCCCAGCUCUACUCUACCAACUCCAGAAAAACAUGAAGCUGCUACACGUGUUUGGCUGGUGAUAGUGCUUUGGCCUAAAAAACAUGAGUACUUAUUGUGAAUAGUCUAUUUUAUCCUUUGUGAACGGGCCCACAUGUCUGUCUCUUCUCUUUCUCUUUCCAACUGGGUAGACGCUGCUCUCCUCACGCUGCUUCUGUUCCUCCUCCUCCAGCAUUUCCCUCUCCAGUCUUGCCAGUCUCUUCUCCUCUACCUUCCUCCUCGCCUUCUCGACCCUGCUCUCCUCUGCUUUUCCUCCGUUCUCCCCUCUCUUUGACAACCUUUUACCAUCUGGGCCCAAGCCCUCAUCAUCCCCUGACGAUGUAAAUCUGAAUAUCUUCCUCAAGAACCAGCUGGCUGUUGUCGAGCAAAAGGACGACAGCAAGCGCCAUGAGAAUGCCAAGAAAAAGUUGUUAUUGCCAGAGGAGCAGCGCAUGUCUAGCCAGUAUCCACAUGCUGAGCGCAUGGCCAUCCGGUGGGCGCCAUCCCAGCUGAAUUAAGAUCGAGCACGGGGCACUUGGAGACAUGAAUGGCCGUAGUAGGAACACAUGAACUUGCCGCAGUUGCGGCAGCGGCGGUUGGCGGUCUUGCGGAUCUUGUGGAGCUCGAGGGCGUGGGCGCGGCGCUCCUCGUGGAGGCGCGCGGCGCUCCUCGUGGAGGCGCGCGGAGCAGUGAGCGCGCCAGAGGGAGAGGCGCGGGAGGAAGAUCUCAUACCAGAAGAGGGUGAGGAGGAGGAUGGAGAUGCAGGCGAGGCGCGGGGAGGUGACCUCGAAGCGGUAGACGGUCGGGAGGAGCAGCUGGGUGGUGGCCCAAAUGCUGAUGAGUGGGAUGACGAGCUGGGUGGUGGCCCAAAUGCCGAUGAGUGGGAUGACGAGCUGAGGGAGGGGCGGUACGCUGGGCAGGGGCCGGGUGGGGGUGGCGCGUUCCGGCGAGCAGGGGCGGUCCGCCGGGCAGGGGGCGGCGAGGCCCGACAGGCGAGGGCGGUGCGGGCAGCACGACGAUGGCAGGUGUGGGCGGAGUACAAAAAUUAGAAACAAACCGGUACGUUGUGUAACGAGUGGCAAAGGUGGGUAAAUAACCCCUAACUCCACGAGGAAGUCUGAAACUGAUGUUUAUGAAGCACCCCUGAGGUACUUAGGAAAAACGUGGAUCUGACCCCUAGCUCCACGUUUUUUCUGGAGCUGGAGUUUGUGGAGCUGGGCAUAUUUGGUAGGCAAUUUUGUGGAGUUGGUGAAGUGGAUCUAUUUUUUCUAGAGUGGAGUUGUGGCGGAUCCACUUCGGAUUAGCUUGAUUAAACAGGGUUAAGCCGCCUAACAUGCGACACUCCUGCCUAAACCAAGUUAACACGAAGUGCCGUCGGAUUUCCUCCGAUUAACCACUUGAACAGGAUCGAGUUAGCAACCUCACACGAAGGUGAGUGGUUCCAAAGAAUACAACGAGUCCACUGAGUUAGGCAAAUUUACCCAUUUAGUUCGGCCAUAAAAACCAACAUCGAAGUUUUACAGGGUUCAAAGAAACAACAGAGGUAAACACUAGCGGAAGCAAUCGUCGGGUCGGAUGUCCAGGUGAGGCCAGCCGGAACAUCACUGAUUCCUCUCCUCGCCAUUCGAGGAGGGAUCCCACUCAACCGUCCAGCCCGGCGGGAGCUGGGGCGGCCAAGCGCCAGCCAGAGAAGAGUCGGGAGUAGCAACUUCACCUGAAAAACAGGAGCCACAACAAGGCUGAGCUACUAAGCUCAACAAGACUUAACCGAUAGGAGUAAAACUACUCCUCCUUCUAGACAUGCAGGGCUUUUUGGCUGAGGGGUUUGUUUGCCAAAAGCACUAAGUAAAACCCUAUUUUCAAGUUUUAGCUCCGGUUCUAGGUUCAUUUACCAGUCUAGGUUUGCAACCUAUUUGAAGCAAUCACAGAGCCAAACAAGAUGUGUAAGCAUAGCAACAAACAUGUCAUCAUCAGAUUCCUCAUUUACUCAGGGUGACAUAGCGAUCAAGCAAUCUCAAACUGUGAGAGGCAGAUGAAUCGAUUCGAGUUCUUUUAACCAUGCAUGGUGAACCUAACCUCACGACAUCCGCGCACCCGGAGGUCGCUUCCUGUGUCGGCCUUCCCCAUCAAUCCCCUAACCUGUGUCGGGCCCAUUUCCUUUGGUGCAAGGUUCCACAGACCCGACCUCUGCCAUUCUGUGACCACGCUUGCCACCACGUGCGACAUCCAGCAGGGGAAACUCCGUUCCAAGAACAAUGGGGUGACCGCUCACGUCUAGGUUCAAUCAGGUACUAGGCUUCCUCAUGCCAUACUAAGUAUGAAGCUAGUACUUUCAAACACUUGAUCACGAACACCACCACUGUCGGGCCUUAGCAAGUUUUCAUAGACAGACGGGGCAACCAUCCGUCCACCAAAGAGUUACCAACACCCUGCCCCGUCCAUCAUCCUUAUGGUUAUAACAGAAAGGGUAGACAUGCAACUCCUACAACUCGCGAGUGACAGGAAAUCACUCGGCUUUUACCGUCUUCUAGUUAAGCAAGGCAGCUACUCGGUCCAACAGCUAGUGCUCAGAUCAUGGGGAUAACUAACUCAUGCAUCUAGGGCUUCAAACAACUCCUAUACGUAAAUGCACAAGCAUGUUACAGAAGGCAUGCGCAAGUUUGGUAAAACACGCAGGGUUUUUAUGCAACCGGGGCUUGCCUUCGAGCAAGGAGGAAGGAAACUGCUCGACUUCGGGGGCGACUUCGGCUUCAGCGGGCAGGAGCUCAGCUACAGCUUCGUCUUCUGGCGCUGGGUGUAGCUCGUAGAAGCCGUCGGCGAGGUGCAGCUCUACACGAAUGCAAUGCAAAAGUUAGCAUAGACGGUUAUUUCAACAGCAACACUGGCUCGCCUAAGCCCAGAAACUCGCGAUGAGGAGCAGGAGGGUAGGGAGGUUCAAGAGAGCUGGUGAUGAUCAAGAGGCAAGGGUCGGAAAGGAACUUAGGAUCUGAUCCUUGAACUAGAGGAUGUGGUAUACUAGGAAUCCUCAAACGCAAGCGCUGAAGGGUUCCUAGAUUUUACACCUACACCCUCGGAUUGAAGAAAAAGAUCACAGCCAAACCCUCGGGCGAGGCGGAUAAGGGUCGGCGGAACAGAUAGGGUCGGGCGAGACGGAACCGGGGUCGGGCGGAUAGGAGGGGUCGGGCGAAGCGGACUGGGGUCGGCAACUCACCUUCUUCCUGAAAGGAAAGCUUGGGGUCAGAAAGAGGCAGACUUGGGCGAAGGGACUAAAGCUUUGAACAACGGCUAAGACUGGAAAUGCUACGGCGGCGGCGGUGCUUCUUGCAGAUCACAAGAGAGCUUUUACGCAGCACGGAGGAGCAAGCGGCUGGGUGACUUGGAGAAAACUGAGGGAGAAGCUGAGAGAAGAGCUCCUCCAGAACUGGGUGUGUGGCGCUAGGAGCUUGAGCAGGGAGCGAGAGAAAGGCUGAAGGCAACAAUGGCGGAGGGAACUCCGGCGGCUGGUGCAUUCCUUUUAUAGCAGCUGGAAUGGAGAAAGGAAGCGGCGCGGGAGAGAGAGAAGGGGAGCGGCGCGAAGGCCGGGGAGAAGCAAUGGAGUGCUCUGCCGGGGCGGCAAUUGAGCGAAGAGGGCGGUGGUGCAGGACUCCGGGGGUGACGCCAGCGGUCAUUGGGCUCUGCCGUCAAGGCGGCGCAGGAGCGGUUAUACCGGUGGUUGAGAUUUGGCGGAAGGCGGGCGUCGCUGUGCGGAAGAUUUGAUAGAAGCGACCGGUUUAACGGCGCUAGAAUCGAGGGCGCACAGGUGAGAAGACAGGCAGCCGCGGGCGCGCGGGCGAGCGCGGAGCAACAGAUUGUCGGGCGGCUUCUGACAGGGCGGGGAAAAGGAGCUGUCGCUGCCGUGGUCGGGGUUGGCGAUGGAAGAAUCGUCGUGUAGCGGAGACCAGGCGGCGCGACUGUGGUCGAAGUGACGGAAAAGACGGGCGAUAUCGGGCUCUGGGGCCGGGAUCUGGCGGCGUGAUGAUGGGCGCGGGAGGCGAGGCUCUGCAGAAAGGUUGCAGAGGGGCUUCCGCUGCCAUUGGGGAAGGGGGCGCGAGAAUCCACUCGGUCGCUAGACAGAGACAAAAUUGAGCGGCGGCGUCGGAGAAGACGAGCCACGCGGCAGGGAGACUCUGAAGCGGGCAUGCAACUCGAGUGCGCCUGUCGCGGAGGAUCUGGGGGAAAAGAUCUCGCGGUCCACCGGGCGGAUAGAACGGACGUUUGAGGAAGGCUUAGAAGGAUCCGACGGUGGGCUGAGCUCGCCGGGGUCGGGAUCGGAGCGAAGCGGGGAGGGGUCGGGUCUCAGGGGUCGGGAUCGGGCUGAAGGCUGAGCACUCAGGCGCGGUAAAGCAAGACAGAUGACUACGAUCAAGGGCUAGGAUUAAGAUUAACUUGGGAGAUUAGGGGUCGGUCAUCACAGGAGUGCUGCCAAACACCCCUUCACAAAUACAAGUGACCGGUGAUACUCCACGCCCCUCACUGUAACGUGUAAUACGUUUGAUUUUUUUAUUUUUAAACUUUUUAAGAUAUUUUUAAAAAUAACCCCUAGCUCCAAACUUUAUUUUUUAUUAGAGUAUUAAUCUGAACACUAGUCCAAAAGCAACACAAAAAAACAAGAUGACAAGUAAAAGCGAUACCUGCAGCAAGCGAUGUGCAAUGUAUAUCUUCUUGCCGCAAACCUUGUUAACCAUACCUUGCUCACCGUGACUGUUGGCAUAGAGCUGCCAAACCUCCUGCUGCUUCUGAAGUGGCCGCCCGCACACGCUAGACCCUUUGGCUCCAAGCUGGCCACGAUCACCGCCUCCUCCACGAGGCUCACCGAGCAGCGCGACACUUCGAGAGUGGAGAACAGCAGCAGGUGGCUACCACAGGCUCAGGGUCGGUCGUCAGGAGAGGUACACCAACAUCGCCACCGUGUUCUACUGCGCCUCGACCUUGGCAGCGUCGCCGACCAAGAAAAGAUGGAGCAGUCAUGGUACGGUAUCUUAGUACCACACAUUGAUGCAAUCGGGUGUUGGAUGUGGUUUGAAAUAUUUCUCCUCCCAUGAAUCUGGUUUAGCAUCCUGCAAGAAUGUAAAAAAUAUUAGUGGUUUCCACAUUAAUUAAAAUUACUAGCAGCUCACGCAAUUCAUCGUUGGGAAAGAAUAGAACAGGCAAAGCAGGACAGCAAAGGAGAGUUAUGGCAGUACAAGAACAAAUGGAAAGUUACUAUGUGACAGCAAGCUGCCUCCUGCUGUCAUGCAUAACAAGGCUCCACAUGGUAGGUACAAAAAAGAGACUGAUUACACAAAUUUCAUUUUAUUUUCUUCCAUAUAUUAUUUACCCACAAAUCAAAUUUAUUAGCAUCUCCAUCAGACCACGCUAGGUCACCACAAUUUGGGGGGCCGAAAGAAGGAACAAGCAUUAACAGAUUGUAAUUCUUUUGAAGAAAUGACAAAUUGCAUUAUUAAUGAGACAUAGCAUAGUCAGUUGUAUAUAUUGCACACUAAGCAUAAUGUAUUGCACACUAAGCGAGCGGAGAUGCUCGUGGCUGUACCUGUUGGCAUCCAUGUCGACAAAGCAAGACGUUUCGUGAGCGGUACUGGCGAUGCAGGAGAAAGCCCCGCCACGUGCGCUUCCGUCCGAAGGCCCCAUCUCAGCAUGGCUUCUUGGCCCAUCCCUCGUGUUCAGUAACGAAUCUGGUUCGUUCCUUCCAUCACCCGCCAUAACCUGCCUUCCCUGUGGGAGCGCAUUAGAUAGAUCAGUACACCACGAACUCCAAUCCACUAAGAGCUCUAAUUUAGGGAUGCUGAAAAGAAACUCAAUGCUAACAUCAAGGGGACAAAGAAAUAAGAGAUAACACACUUCUUUUUUCAUCACUAUGAUUUUACUAUCAAGUAUAUGUCAUGAUUAAAUAAAACAAACUUAUGUAGCAGCAAUUUGGUUGAUAGGAACAAAUUUAUGUAAGGCAAAAUAAUAGAUUAGUAAAAUAGUGGUCUUUCAUCUUUGUUUAGAUCAAAUAUGCCAUCAGAGACCGAAAACAGCAAACUACUGAAUCAAACACAAUUUAAAAGAGAAACUAAACACGGAGCUCACAAUUGUCCAACUGCUAUGUGUUCACGUGAUAGGGACAGCACUGAUUGAGAAGGCAGAGGAGAACAAUGAGGCGCGUGAGCGCGCGUGGGAGCUGCUGACUGACCUUUGAAUGGAGGUCAUGGUGUAUGUGGCGCCAUCGGCCGGCGACCUCCACGUGAAGGCCCAUAAGGAGGCGCUGGCGCGCGGCGGUGAGUUCAUCACCGUGUUCUGGGUGUUGUGUACGCACACUGGCAUGACUAGGCCGGCCCUCGCACCGUGGGAGGCAGCACGUCGUGCGUUUGAACCAUAGAGCAUUGGCUUCCCGUGUGUGCCGAUUUUUCAAGGACAGCUUGCUUGGGAUGGUUCGUCUGACGUGUUUCAUUCCGGUACUAGGCCUCUGUGAGGCUCCAAAUUUAGAUUCGGUACUGGUGCUAAUAUUAGUACCAGAUCAACAUGUGACCCGUAUUAAUGGAGUGGAUGAAAGGAAUAUUAAAAAUAGAUAUAUAGCCAUCCCUCGUGAAUGCACGGGUUGAUGCCAGUAAUUCCUUAAGGCCCCGUUUGGAUCAUUGGAAUUGAAUUCCAUCCUAAUAAUCAUAAUUUAGACACAAAUUAAUUAAGCUAAUAUAAUUGUAUGUGGAAUAUAGUUGUAUAUUAUAGUUGGUGAUAUGGGAGAGAUACUUGUAUGCUGCACUUCUACUAUAGAGAAGCGAGUCUAAGAGCGUGCUAUAAGAAUUGAAUUCCAUCUAAUAACCAUAAUCUAUAGAAUCAAUUUCCAUCUCCCACCCCAUGAAUUUAAGAUAGGCUUAUAUCUAAACUUUGGAAAGUUGUGGAAUGCCACAUUCCAACAUAAAUUAGCCUACUCCAUUAAAUAGAUUCCAAUUCCUUGGACCCAAACGGGGCCUAAGAGAUGUGCUGGGGCCGGGGGGUGGGGUGCUGGCUUAAAAAGAAUGGAAAGAAACGUAGAUAUGGCACACACAUGCUUGAUCUCAGUCGAUGCUUUAACUGUGUCUAUAAAAUUGAUAUGAUUAGAUAUGUCAUUCUGUGGUAGCACCUCGCGAUCACAAUGUGUGCCUCUAUAUAUGUUGUGCCAAUGCAGUCCAUUCGAGGGAGUAUCAUAGCGUGGCUGAACUACUGGAAAUGAAAGGCCUAGACUCAUUCUGCAACAACAAAGUCUACCCCUAUGUUUAAAACCUGACUUCCUCCUACACCGACCAGAAAAAUGAGGCCAACCACAACCUCUUCAGCCGCUUCUCUGAUGUGAGCACAAUUCUCGACACUACUAGAAAAUUGACCUUUAGUCCCGGUUGGUAAGGGGUAUAGAUCCUAAAAAUAUAACUGGGACUACGUAUUCGAGGCAAAGGGGAUCCUUUAGUCUCAGUUGUUGCUACCAACCAGGACUAAAAUAUUUCCAAUAAAAUAAAAAAAAUGCCACCCACACUAGUUGCCCGCUGCUCGCCCGCGCCACCCGCCUCCCACAGCCGCGCUAGCCUCACGCUGCCCGCCCGUGCCCGCGUCAGAGCCUGGAAUAAAGGAAGAGGAGGAGGAGGAAGAAGAGACAAGUGGAGAGGCCCUACGUGAGAGAUAAGAAAGGGAGGCGAGGAGAUAAGCAGAGAGAGAGAGGGAGGCGAUGAGAUUUUAUCCCAGUUGGAAUUUCCAACUAGGACAAAAGGUUUAGUCCCGGUUGGAAUUUUCAGAUAGCACCAGGGGGCGAGGGCGUCGAUGCUAGAUUUUUUAGCCGUUACAACUAGGACUUGAUCUUUACAACAAGGACUAAAGCUGCUCCCGUCGGUAGACUUUGGUGCCUCAUUUUUGACCUAGGCCUUUAGUCCCGAGUCCAAAGUUAACCGGGACAAAAGCAUUAGGAUGGAAGGUCAGUUCUCUAGUAGUGCAACCGUAGUGUCCGCCUCCUCCUCUGCACUGCCAUGUCCCUCUUCUUGCAUGUAACCCUUUCACACACAUGCAUAUAGCUUGAUUAAUUUUCUCAUGCGUGUUCACAACUAAUGAAUGGAUGAAAAACAUGUCAAGAUUAAUUUCCAAUACUUUUUUCUUCUAUAGAUUGUUUCCACUAAGUGGUUCACCAUGUUAGAGAUGAUAGGCAAUAUAAUCGACGAAGAACAGUAGAUCAAAACUCAGGGAACAUGAGAUUUUAACGUGAAAAAUUCUUCCAAGGAGGAAGAGAAAAAACCACGGGCGCCAGCCAACAAAUCUUCACUAUAUCGGGUGAGAUUACAAACCCCGAGGAUUUACAACUAUUUCAACUUAUCCUGAACGGCGACUUACAGGAAGUAUAUAUAAUGAGGUGAAACCCUAAUGGGCGACGAUGGCCCAAGCCUCCAGCGACAGACCUCGCUUCGCUCCGUCCGAAGUCAACCUUUAUGUAUGUGUAACUGAAUUUGGAUCAUAACUCAACACACUACAUAAUAAGGAUCUAGUGGUGCACUGCAGCGUAGCAAGGUCCGUGAGAAAUAGUGAGAGUUAAUGAUAGAUGUUGGUCGUUAAAUAUAGGUUUAAUCAGGUAGCCCUAGUCCGUCGGACUACCAUUGGAAGUUUAUUUUUAGGGGAGUAUAGAUUUGGGUCGUGGAACCCCUUCAGAUAAACUUUUGGUUAAAACUUAUUUGGAGCUAAAAUUUAGAUACUUGCCUAUGCAUAUCAUCGAUCAAUGUUGUUAGAGGAAUUUAACAUUAUUGUGUACAUCAAGGAUCGAACUUCAAUUAUUAUAGGUACUGUUAUACUGUAGCAAUGUAUAUAUCUCAAAUAUUGCUUCGCUUUAGCUAAAGAAUAGGAUGCUAGAAUGAAAGCGGCAAAAGAAAAACAUAAUGAUGAAGGCAUCCUCUCUUUUGGGGCCAAGAUUCCUGCUGAUAUUGAUAACAAAAGAAGGAUACCAUGGGUUCUCUCCCAUUUGGAAUUAUAUGUGACGAAAGUUAUGCUAGUAGCUAGCUUAAAUGCUAAGGCUUGCUCAUCUUUUGAAUUGUACAGGCAGAGAUAUGACUGUAGAAAUUGGGGAAGCAGCGCUUUGCAUGUUAUAAUAUAGGGUGGAAUAAAUCACCCCUGCCGUGGUUUACACAGUGUACAACAACCUGGCCACCAUCCCUAAAUUACAAGAUAAGAUAAGGGCAUGCAGCUCGUCUUUUUACCGUCUGGGAGACGUUAUUUUUGUAAAAAACUCCUGGACUCAGCCAGGAGACAGGCGCGCCAUCUCCUCAUGAAGAGACGACAGGGCUCAUGCUCCCAAGCCAUAUCGCCCGCUCCAGCACCAUUGUACACCGUAGGGAUGACGGGAGCUCGUGCUCCCAAAUCAUAUUUGAUCACCUUAUUCAAUGCACUCAGUUUUGUCCUUAAAAUCGGGUGUGACAGGCAUGCUGUCGCCAUUACCAUGCCCUUUUCCUCACACAGUCUAAAGUUGGUAUGAACUGACCUGAUAAAGAGCAAUUAGCUCGCGUGGAACCUCUAGGGGGAAAGAUCAAUUAGCUAGGUACAAAUCUUAGGAAUACUAAAGAAUUCUAUUUUUUAUUGCUCCUAGUAAAAAAAUACUAGGAACAAUACCUCUGUGCUGUCUGGUAACCAAUUCAGAGAAAUUACACAAAGCUGCUUUAACGCCGUACUGGUUCAGUGGAACGGCAAGAAGUAACAUGUCUGAUAAGUUACCCUGCAGCUGGUUUUUCACUUCUAGUUGCCGGUUGGCACACAACAUAACAUCAGUGACCAAAAGCUAUAAAGGAUGCAUGCUUGCCUUAACUAAAGAAUUCUCUUCCUCGGCUCAUUACGCUGAGUCUUGGACAGAUCACACUCGAUUCAGUGGCAGAUCUAGGGCCCGGGCUGGGGGUUGCAGCCCGGGUCCAGCCCAAGUAUUCUCUUGUAUAUGGUGUGAGCUAAAGAGAAAAUAAUAGCCAAGUGGACGGGGACUAAAUAAAUUGAAUUGGUUUGCCAGGCUGUGCUCCCGUUAUGGCUGUGGCUGUCCUGGACAGGGCCACGAAUGAAUCAGGGUUCCACGGUGACCUCUUCUACCUAUUACUGCCUUCCCCUUCACCCCCCUCGGGCUCUCCAUCGUGUCCCAAGGCAGCUAUCGUUCUCAUUGUGAUGAUCUAUGUAAUACCUCUUAAAUUUAGCUGCGUGGACAAAAUCAACAAAACUGUACGUCCCAAAAAAACAUGCGCCUUGUCUUGAUUAUGACAGAUGUAAGCUAGGCUACCUAUUAGGCUAUCCAAGUUGCACAUUUACUUUUAUUUUUUUACAAAGCACAAGACAACACUACAUAGACGUUCAAAUUAAUGCACGCAAACUCAACACUAUUCUUAUGAGCACCUCGUAGAGGUUGAGCUUGCAGAUUCUCAAGAUUGAUGAUGUCACCACUAGCGCCUUACUAUCGACAGGCACGUCACCUAGCACCGAAAAAAUAGCACCCGUUAAAUUCUAAAAUAAAUUUAGGAAUGUGCGAGCACUAAUGCUAAACCGAAGACUUGAAUCGUUGUGGGCAGGUCCACAAAGAACCUUACCAGGCUGAACAUUUACAUAAUUUAUGUGAUCAACUGGUCAUUCGAGUUGCACAUUUACUUUUAUGUGAUCAACUACAUGAAGUGGCCUAUCAGAUUAUGAGGGCUACAAAUAUAUUUGAUUAAUUUACCUGUUAAUGUAUUCAUAAAUUGGCAGUUAUUGAUUGAUUUAUAACAGUUUUUUCAUUUAAACUGUCGCUACUUUGUUCACAAAUAUAACGCAUACUUUUAUGAUGCAGGAUUGAAUGUUUAUCUCGUUCUCUUCGUUUGUGUGUAAAUGCAAAGAAAGAAUAAGAAAAUUUUGGGUAAACAUUUAAUGGUAGUGGUGCAUAUAAAAUAAUAAAUUUUGGCUUAUUUUAAUUAUGAAAUAUUAAAAGUGGAUAAUUUCAAAGGAUGUAUAGGGGUAUUUUUAUUUUAUUUUAAAUAAUGGCAAAUGGGCAAUUUGGAUGGUGUGAGAACAAGUGAGAAGUGUUCUUGUGAGUCCUGUGCUUAGGACUCUUUGGGUCCUUCGUAUAGAGGCGGAAGGGGGUGGCAAUUUGCUCCCAAACCCCUUGGUGGGUACAACAUCUACCAAUACUUUCUUGAACCUUUACAUAAGGUCCAUUUUCUACAUUGGCAUGGAUUCCCCCAAGAGUAGCACCUCCACUAUUGUGGUUUGGCUGGUACAACGAAGCAAAGUAGCUGAAUACAUAUGAAGUGGACUAGACAAGCCUAUAACCUCGGUCAUGAGGAGCGCUCUCAUGACCAUCUACUCGCAUGCCUCACUGAAAGCUCCAUCCAAAAACCUAGUGAGAGAAAAGAAAUGGAGAAAAAAUUACGGUGCAGUCAUAUUGUCAAAGUAGAAAUGUCGCUAUCUUGAUCCUACUAAAGCCAGCAAUGACUUUGGGUCUUUUCUCACUGAUUGCCAGGCAAGACUUUAUCGUAGUAAAAACAUGUAUAGCCUAUGGUUACACACAACAUCAAGCGAUAAAAAGAUCAUAAGAAUAAGUGGACGGGGUUGAUAUAAUGGAUUAGUUAAGAAAUUGCAUUUAUUUGUCAAUCACCUUCCACAUUCGACAGCGAUGGCCAUACCAUGGACCUUGACCAUGUGUCUGGGCAAUGAGAUUACGCAGAAUUCAAUAUCCUCGUUAGGUGUAAAGGGCCAUCGUUAUAGUUCCAUGGUAACCUCUUCUACUAGCUCUCCAGUCUAUUAUUGCCUUCCAUUCUAUCCCAGUGCAACAAGCAGCGAACACAGCCAGGGCCGUGCCGGAAAAAUAUAGGCACUGUGCCAAGCUCUAAGAAGGGGCCCUAUUGCACUAGAAUUAUAGAAUAAUGGUACCACUUAUGUCACACUCAUUUUUAAAGGCAAAACCGAAUGAAUGAAUUACAUGUGCACCAGGAUUAAGUUUCACACAUGCAACAACUUCAGUAAAUAUCAUAGAUAGUGCCAAAACUUAAAGAGAGUAUUAUAUUUAUUACAUGACCGGAAAUCUUUAAUUCGUAUAGCAAAAUGAGUCUUUAUUCUAGCAGUAGAACUCCAACGAUGACAAUGACUCCACAUGUAGUUGACUGGGUUAGAACUCCUCGAAGUCGACUUGGUCUGAGCAGCAGUUUUAGCAAGGGUGUGCACUUAUGGUUGGUACUCAACAAGUGUGAGGACUGUGUAGUGUAAGCCUAUGCAAGGAUAGGCUAUUGUUUAAUAUCAUUUCAUAAUUUUAAUUGGUUGGUUAAAUUUUAUUAGCAAUUACUAAGUAUAAGUUUAUACCACCCACAUUAAGCAUGAACAUAAAUAAAGAUAAUAGCAAUAAAUAACAUCAAUUUAAUUCAAAUUUUGAUAAAAUAAUCAUGUGACGGUCCAGGCCACUCUUAACCAUGAGCACGGCUGUUAUAACAGUUUCAAACAUUGUAGAGAUUGUACAUCUUUAUCCACAAGUCACGUAAAAGUUCAAAAGAACUUUAGACCCAACCAUGUUGUGCGGGCCAGGACCAAUACCACACUUCCGAGGUGUGAUUGCAUAGGGAUGCUACGAGGCUUUACAAAGAUUGCCUAGUUAGGAUAGCUCGCUAAGGUUUCAUGAUCAGCACAAUGCAUAAGCCUCUCUGCGAAGCUACCAUAGAGUAGAUCAGUCUGAGGGUGAGCUAUACACCUACUAUCUCACCCUAUUGCGCCUUUCAUGUAAAGCUACCAUGAACUAGAGUUUCUAAUUAAUUAGCCAAGACUAGAGCCAUGCAGUUCUUAUGGUGUACUAUUUUUGUAGGUGGUCGCUCCAUAUUCCAAUUAAGCAAGGUGAUCUUGUAUUAAUGGAAGAUAUAGCAUAAAUAAAAAAAGUUUGUUAUCAAGGGCAUGACUUGCCUUCCUGAACUCGCUCUUGCUGCUCAAUGUCUUCAAAGCCUUGCUCUUCGAAUCCUUCGGAUUGCGAUCCUUCUAAGCGCACCACAAAAAAGUACAUACAAUCAAACAAAGGACUAAAAUAAGAAAACAUUACGUCAAGCAGUAGCAACAGAGCAAACAAGAGCAUAAAACUAAUCUAUGCGUCAACACAAACUUAUAGGCAUGAGAAUCUCUUAAAAAGGAUUUUAAACGCUAAAGAUAUGAGCUAAACAAGGUUCAGGUCCUUAACUGCAAGAAAACUAAACUUUUAGGGGCUAAACUUAUAGAAGUCGAGGGCUAAAACUUACUUAAAUAUAUAAACAGAAGUCUAACACAUCGAAAGACCAAACAGGAUAGCAGGCAGGAUUUUAUAAAAAAACUGGGGCUAAAACAGGAGAAAAAGAACCUAGAUCUAAUUACUUUUGAACUGCGCAGGACCUCGGGUGCAUAGAGUGAGAAAAAUGGGGGCCUUCUUGCAAAAGUGUCACACGUGCCUCGUGUUAACCGGUAUUGACCCUAGUCAGUUCCGAUCUGGGCUAUCGGUUCGCGAUCGGAUGGUUGUAGUCGGUUGGAAGGGGACGGGUGGAGAGCGAGCGACGGAGAACUGAUCUAGGUCUUCAUUUUGGCCUAGGAUGAAGUGGGUGCACGACGAACCGAUCUAGGUCUUCGGAGCGGCAGCUGGAGUGGCGAUGGUGAGAUGAAGCUCGGAGAGGCGGCUCACGGCGGACUGGCAACUCUGGUGAACUCGGGGACGUGUUAGAGGGCACGGGAGUGCACGUGAUCUUCACGGGUGGCUUCCUUACCACGACACGAAGCUCCGGGCGGUGAUACUGUUGACGGGAAGGCGGCGGCGAUGGGGAUCGAUGCGGCGGGUGUGCACUAGUGCUAGAGCUCGGGCUGUAGCGGUGCUGCAGCUUGUGGCGAGGGCGCUCGGGUUUGGUGGGGCUGCAGAGACGGUGGCGGUUUUUAUAGGCUCAGGGUGCCGUCCUUGGUGUGUGGGCCCAAGGUCGGAGGCGGACGCAGGGUGCGACUGAGCCGAAAUCGAGCUCGAGUCCCAGUCGGGAACGGGCGUGCAACAGGAGGGAGAUGACGCGGGAGUGGGCCAGUGAGGCGAACAUGGCCAACGCGAUGUGGGGCUGGCGCGGGAGCAGGCCAGUGGAGGAGGUGCUGUUGGGCCGGCAUGCUGGGCUGGCGAGCGAGCCGAGCUGACGAUCCAUUGCUAAAGAGUGGCGCUAGCUGCUGCUGCUGCUGGGUGGGCCGAAAGAAGGAGCGGGCCGUUAGAAGAGAGAAGAAAAGAAAGAAAAAAAUAAAGGUUUUUCCUUUUGUUUAAAAGGGAUUCAUACACAUAAAUUCAAAUGCAAAUUUGAAUUCAAACAACAAAAAUCAAUUUCCCAGCAUAUGCAACAAUGAACUCCUAUGAUUCUUAAUUAUUUUAGAAUGAAACUUUAAUGCCUAGGAAAUUAAAUAAAACCUUAGGAAAUCCUUAUGUCCUUAAACACAAGCAAUUAAAUUCUACUAAAUUCUAACAAAUUUUAUUAAUUUGCAAAAGUUGAACAUUAGGGUGUUACAGUUCCUGCUGCUACUCGAGGUGCUCCUGCCCCCGCUCACAAGUGAUUAAAAUUUAUGCAGGUUUUUACGCGAAUUUUGCAAAAAUUUGAUCUCACUAGUAGAGAAUUGGCUUUCGAUCCGCCCCCUUUUGUCCCGGUUUAAAGUUGGCCCGGGACAAAAGGGGGUGCGCCACGGUAGGCAAAAUUGGAGGGGAGAUUUACUCCCAGUUGGUAAUUGCAACCGGGACUAUAGGCCCCCCUUUAGUCCCGGUUGCAACGGCUAGCUGGGGGGCGUCGGUGGCGGGACCCUUUUAUCCCGGUGGGAGGAUCCAACCGGGAUAAAAGGUGAACCCUUUUAUCCCGGUUGGAUCAUCCAACUGGGACUAAACUUCCAACCAGGACAAAAGGUGUUCCUUUUUGUCUCGGUUGGAGUUUUUAACCGGGAUAAAAACUCAUCCCCAUUAUAUACGGCCAAGACAGAGGACUUUCUUCCUCCUCCAGCCCGAGCCAGUCCAGCACAUUGACAGAGAGAGCUGAGCUUCACCUACUCUCCAGUGGUGCCGAAGCAAGCAAGGAAGGUGCUGCCCGAAGUUUUUUCCCUCAUUUUCAUGGGAAUUUCACUCGGCCAACACAAGUGUUGCGAAGGUUUGCUACUUCAUCCUCGUGUUAUGCUUUGAUUUAUGCUUUGGAGAUGGAAAGAUUAUUUGCUACAAUGUGAUGAUGAAGUAGAAAAAUGGAGAGGUAUUUUGAGCUAGAAUGUAAGGGAGAUUGAUGUGUCAUAUAUAGUAUGCAUUAUUGCAGUGGUUUAAAAAUGAUGCUACCUUGUCUAGACGGUUUAUCUUAUCAAAUUCAAUAUGGUUUUUUAAAUCCAUACUUGUUGAACUUGCAUACCGUGUUCAUUUCGGCGAGAAUGUUCUCCGCCGAGCAGCAACGUAUGUCAAGAAGGAGGUUCGAUUCUACGAGAAAGAGUGGAUACGGACAUCGUGACCGUGUCCCCUUUUCCGUAGCAUCUAACCUCUUUCAUGACGAAGUGCGGUGCCGCCCAGCUGAGGACAUCCUCGCGAAAUGAACACGGUCUUCAAGUUCAACAACUUCUGUAGUGGUAAGGAAAGAAUUUUUGUACAUAGAUGACUUCUGCUACUUGUUGAACUUGCAUACCGUGUUCAUCUCUCCGAGGAUGUUUUCCGCCGAGCAGCAACGUAUGUCAAGAAGAAGGUUCGAUUCUACGAGAAAGAGUGGAUACGGACAUCGUGACCGUGUCCCCUUUUCCGUAGCAUCUAACCUCUUUCAUGACGAAGUGCGGUGCCGCCCAGUUGAGGACAUCCUCGCGAGAUGAUCACGGUCUUCAAGUUGAACAACUUAUGCAGUGUUAAGAUAAUAAUUUUUGGACAUAGAUGGCUUCUGCUACUGGAGGAAGUGGCGAUGGUGGGGGCGAUCGUGGUUCCUAUUAUGGCAAGGUUCCAAUCAUAGUUGGCCCUCAGCAUAAGCCGAAGAAAAAGAGCGCGCUGGAAAAAGCAAUGCUUCGUUAUUUGCAGCAACAUCAUGAAGAAGCUGUUGCCGCGGGUCAGGAACCUCCUUUUGGUGGUCGUUAUGCUCCACCCUCAGUCCCCGGUGUUUCACGUCCACUUAGUACUACCGUUUCAGGCGGCACAAAUAAACCUAAGGAUGAGGUUGGGUCAGCGGAACCUUCGUCUUCACCGUUCAAGGAUGCUUAAAGUCCUCCUUGAUAAUAACCAGUGGAUGGCUUGUUGUAUUGUAUCAUGUUGUUUGGGACUUUAAUUUAAAUAUGUGUAUUUGGAUCUUCAUGUUGUUGUAUUGUACCAUGUUGUUUGGAUCUUUAAUCGAUUUUCACGCGUAAUCCAUUGUCAAGUGUAAUCCAUUUUCAUGCGUAAUACGAUGCAGAUGGACCGGCAAUGGAUGUAUAAUGCAGACAGGCGGAGCAAGGCGUUUAUUGAUGGCUUGCAUUAUUUUCUCGAAGUGGCAAAAGCGAACAAGCCAGAGAAUGGGUUCGUAUGUUGUCCAUGCUUCCAAUGCAAUAACAGGAAGGAGUAUUCAAAGGAUUCCUGGGGGACUAUUGACAACCACUUGUUUAAAUACGGUUUCAUGCCUAACUAUUUGGUUUGGACCAAGCACGGUGAACUAGGGGUUGUAAUGGAAGAUGGCGAGGAGGAGGAGGAAGAUGACACCAUUCCGGACUGGGUUGCAGGCCAAGCUUUUGCAGGUACUACAAUCGGCGAGGCUGAUGAAGAUGAGUUUGCAGAAAAUAACCCUACUGAUGACCUUGGUCAGGUGAUACGAGAUGCAUACAGAGAUUGCGAAACUGAGAAGGAAGCAGCAAAGUUGCAGCGCAUGAUAGAUGAUCACCAAAAAUUGUUGUACCCAGGUUGCCAGCAGGGCCAUAAAAAACUAGGUACGACACUAGAAUUUGUGCAAUGGAAGGCAAAAACUGGUGUGUCCGAUAAGGCAUUUCAGGGGAUGUUGAACAUUGUCAAGAAGAUUCUCCCCGAGAAUAAUGAAUUACCGUCCACAACAUAUGAAGCUAAACAGAUUAUUUGCCCCCUCGGAUUGGAUGUUCAGAAGAAUGAUGCAUGCCCUAAUGACUGUAUCCUCUAUCGUGGUGAUGAAUACGAGAAAUUGGAUGCUUGUCCCGUCUGCGAAGCCCUGCGGUAUAAGAUCAGGCGAGAUGAUCCUGGUGAUGUCGAGGGGCAGUCUCCCAAGAAGAGAGUUCCCGCGAAGGUGAUGUGGUAUUUCCCUAUAAUACCACGCUUGAAGCGCUUGUUCAGGAACAAGGCGAAUGCUAAGUUGAUGCGAUGGCACAAAGAAGACCGUAAGGAAGAUGAGAUGCUGAGACACCCCUCAGAUGGGGCACAGUGGAGAUCAAUUGAUAGAACAUUCCCAGACUUUGAAAGUGAAGCAAGGAACAUAAGGUUUGGUUUAAGCACUGAUGGAUUCAAUCCAUUCAGUGAGUUGAGUAGUGGCCAUAGUACUUGGCCUGUGACCCUUUGUAUGUUCAACCUUCCUUCUUGGCUGUGCAUGAAGCGGAAGUUCAUUAUGAUGCCGGCGCUUAUCCAAGGCCCAAAACAACCCGGCAACGACAUUGACGUGUACCUAAGGCCGUUGGUUGAUGACCUUUUACAGCUCUGGAAGGAAGAAGGUGUACGUGUGUGAGAUGAGGAUAGACAAGAGAUCUUUAAUCUACGAGCACUGUUGUUCGUAACCAUCAACGAUUGGCCUGCAUUGAGUAACCUUUCAGGACAGACAAAUAAGGGAUAUCGGGCAUGCACCCACUGUUUAGACGACACAGACAGCAUGUACUUGAAGCACUGUAAGAAGGUCGUCUAUAUGGGUCAUCGUCGAUUUCUCCCUGCUCACCACCAGCUGAGAAAGAGCGGGAUGCAUUUCAAAGGGGCGCCAGACCAUCGUAAAAAACCUGCACACCGUAAUGGAAAGCGUGUGUUCGAGAUGAUGAAGGAUGUAUAUGUAGUCUUCGGAAAGGGACUUGGUAGCCAACCUGUUCCGAACGACGAUAACGGACAUGCACCCAUGUGGAAGAAAAAGUCAAUAUUUUGGGAGCUACCUUAUUGGGAAAUCCUAGAGGUUCGCAACGCAAUAGACGUGAUGCACCUGACGAAGAAUCUUUGCGUGAACGUGCUAGGCUUCAUGGGUGUUUAUGUAACCUCAAAAGAUAUAUUGGAAGCACGACAGGACCUGAAAGCCAUGGGGCAACAAGAUGACCUAAAUCCGGAAAAGAGAGAUAAUGGACAGCACUACUUACGUCCUGCCAGUUACACUCUCAGCAAGGAAGAGAAGGAUAGCAUGUUUGAAUGCUUGAAUAGUAUGAAGGUCCCGUCUGGGUACUCCUCGAAUAUAAAUGGAAUAAUAAAUAUGAAACAAAAUAAGUUAACAAAUCUCAAGGCUCAUGACUGCCACAUGUUGAUGACCCAGUUGCUUCCGGUUGCAUUGAGGGGUGUUCUACCAGAAAAUGUCCGGUUGCCGCUCGUAAAGCUAUGCGCGUUUCUCAAUGCGAUUUCGCAGAAGGAAAUCGAUCCAUCCAAGCUAUCAAAGCUACAGAACGAUGUGGUGCAAUGUCUUGUCAGUUUUGAGUUGUUAUUUCCACCAUCCUUCUUCAAUAUUAUGACACACUUACUGGUUCACCUAGUAAAAGAGAUUGGUAUUCUCGGACCUGUAUACCUGCACAAUAUGUGGCCUUUCGAGAGGUUCAUGGCAGUCCUAAAAAACUAUGUUCUUAAUCGUGCCCGUCCAGAAGGAAGCAUCGCCAAGGGAUGUGGAACAGAGGAGGUGAUCGAGUUUUGUAUUGAUUUUAUUGAUUCAAUUGACUCGAUUGGGGUUCCAACUUCACGCCACGAGGGGAGGCUCCGAGGAAUGGGCAUCCUUGGAAGGAAAUCAAGUUUGAGCAAUGAUACUGAUUUGUUCGACAAGGCACACUACACUGUUCUACAACAGUCAUCCUUUGUAUCUCCGUAUAUCGAGCAGCACAGGCAGAUGGUAGCUUCAAAAAACCCGACCAAAUCCGAUGCUUGGCUUACCCGUCAUCACAUGGAAACUUUUCCCUCCUGGUUGCGCCAACAACUUAUGGGUAACUCUGAGAUUCACCCACAGCUUGCCUGGUUAGCCAGGGGACCUGCUACCACAAUCGUCAAAUUCCAAGGCUAUGAGAUAAAUGGUUACACAUUUUACACGAGAGCCCAGGACCAGAAAAGCACGAACCAGAAUAGUGGUGUCCGCAUAGAUGCCAUGGACAGAAAUAAUAGCAAGGAGUCGUAUUAUGGUUUCAUACAGGAGAUAUGGGAACUCGAAUACGGACCGCUGUACAUCCCUCUAUUUCUUUGCAAUUGGGUGAAGCUAACUGCCGUCACCAAAGAUUAGUACGGAAUGACAAUAGUAGAUCUGAGCAAGACUGGAUACAGUGAUGACCCAUUCGUACUUGCCAAUGAUGUGCAUCAGGUGUUCUAUGUGAAGGACAUGUGCAGCAAACCCAAGAGGAAUCCAGAAGAGCCAUGGGAGCCAAAGUGCCACAUAGUUCUUCCAGGUAAAAGAAAAAUCGUGGGAGUCGAGGAUAAAACAGACCAAUCAGAUGAUUAUGAUCAGUUUGAUAGCAUGCCUCCAUUCGCCGUUGAAGUUGAUCCAAGCAUCCUGCUAUCCAAAGAAGAGGCUUCGUACUUACGCCGCGAUCAUGAUCAAGGAACUUUCGUGAAGAAGAAAUUUUACAACGUUGUAUUGUAAUGCGUUAAAUGUACAUGACCUUUGUGUAUUAAUUGAUACAAUUUGUAAUUUACCCUAUGUAUGAUUUCAUGUGUUAUUAAAUUUGUUAGGUGAAGAUUUUUUUAGAUAAACAUGAACAUUGUUAACCACAUACUAACAUGGAUUUUUCUGCGCAUUGAAAUAAUUUAAUUGAAUAAUUUCUUGAUCACAGCAAUGCAGUAAAAUAAAUAUUUUACAGGCUAAAUGAACUGGUAUAGAAUUAAUGAUUAAUUCAUACUUAUUGUCAAUUUACUCGUUAAUUAAAUAUAUUUUUGCAUGUACAAAAUCUGUGAAGGUUUUGUUUUUCAUCCUGAAAUGCAGUGAAAAGAUAAAAUAAAAUCCAUUUCCAAAAAACNNNNNNNNNNNNNNNNNNNNNNNNNNNNNNNNNNNNNNNNNNNNNNNNNNNNNNNNNNNNNNNNNNNNNNNNNNNNNNNNNNNNNNNNNNNNNNNNNNNNGCAUAAAAGCCCCCCCCUUUUAUCCCGGUUGGUGAUGGGACCCGGGACAAAAGACCCUUUUGUCCCGGGUGCCAUUAUGAACCGGGAUAAAAGGGGGGGGUUAAAAGGCACUUUACUCCCUUCUACCCCCCGCCAGUUACACACUUAGCCAAAUUUUCGCCAAGUCCCGCGCGUUCUCCGCCGUCGCCGCCCGUCCGCCUCCCUCGCCGGCCGCCGCCGUCGUCGUCCCCCAUUGCGCCGUCGACGUCCCCCAUUGCGCCGUCGUCGUCCCCCGGCCGGCCCGCCUCGAUCCCCUCCUCGUCUGUCGACGCGCCCGGCCCCCGGCCACCUCGUCGCCUCCGGCCACCGGCUCCAUCCUCGUUGCCGGCUCCAUCCUCGUCGCCCCGCGUCGCCCCUCGUCGCCGUCUCGUCGCUGUCCCGCCUACGCCGCCGUCGUCGUCGUCGCCUCGGCCGCCGUCGUCCUCGUCGCCUCGGCAGCUGCCGUCCUCGCCGCCCCGGCCGCCGCCGUCCCGCCGCCCGGCCACCACCGUCCCGCCGUCCCGCCGACCCAGCCGCCGCCGUACCGCCGCCCUGACCGCCGCCGUCACAACCUAGUAGGCACCGCCCGUGGUUCCGGUGAACCGUCCCCGCCUCCGCCGUACCGCCGCCCUGACCGCCGCCGUCCCGCCUCCGCCGCCCUGAUCGCCGCCGUCACAACCUAGGCACCGCACGUGGAUAUUGUUAGAAAUUCGUAGAAAUUCGUAGAAAUUCGUAGAAAUUCAUAGAAAUUCAUAGAAAUUCAUAGAAAUUUGUAGAAAUUCAUAGAAAUUCAUAGAAAUUUGUAGAAAUUUGUAUAAAUAUUCUGGACUUUGUACGAUUCAUGUUAUUUUAUGAUUUCAUUAUAUACAUGUAUGAUUCCGGACUUUGUAGGACUUUGUACAAAUUUGUAGUAAGACGAUUUCUAUGACUGUCAUGUAUGAUUCCAUGUAUGUUUCCAUCAAUAGUUGAAAUGGCAGACGAUGAGACCGCAAGGUAUAUCAUGGAGCAGAUAAUCGCUGGUGAUGGUAGUGGCAACAACGUUCCACUAUCAUACACGGAUGAAGAGGGCACCCAGGCGGACAUGUUCCUCAACAUGUCCGCCGAUGGGAAUGAAGAGCAACAGCCGCAGCAACAACUUGCCGUGGCGGAAGGUUCCGGUGAGGUAUAUACAACCAUUCUUGUAUUGUUUCACGCCACCGUUACUACUACGUACUAAUUAACGAAUCUUGAACUGUUAGCCCUCCGGAUCGACACAAGGGCAGAAGACCCGAGGUCGUACAAAGGUGAUGGAAGGGAGGCUUGUCAUCACGGAAGUUACAGAAGAGGGCAGGCCGGUUGCUCCCGAGAAAGUAGCAAAGAAGUACGUGAGUCAAAUCGGGGCAAUCGUCCGGGACAACGUGCCUAUCAGCAUCAGAGAAUGGAAGGGCAGAAGCACUAAUCCGUAUGCCCUUCCAGAGACAGAAAAGAAUAUGCUGUGGGAAGACGUGAAGAGACAUUUCACAUUCCCCGAAGGAUAUAUUGAGAAGGAUGUCAAAGCGUGGACACUUAAGAAGAUGGCUACUCAAUUCCAGACAUUCAAGAAGAUGUUGGAUACCCACUACAUCAAGAAGGGCAAAACUCCAGACUUCAACGCGUGGCCAAAGUUGAGGGACCACUGGGAUGCAUUUGUUGAAUAUAAGAGGAGUGAAGAAGGUGUGAAAAAGAUCACGACCAACACAGCAAAUGCUAGUCAGAAGGGCUACCACCAUCAUUUGGGGCGAGGUGGGUAUGGCUCAGCAAUUCCCAAGUGGAGGAAGAUGGAACAAGAUCUGAUCGAACGGGGAAUCAUACCUGCAACCAUUGAAUGGCCCGAACGAUCAAAAAAUUGGUACUACGCUCAUGGAGGCUCCCUAAGCCAAGAGGAUGGGACGUUGAUUUUUAAUGACACAAUACGUGAGAAGGCCGAACAUCUCAUGAAGAACAUUGAAGAUUCUAAGGCUGGGAGGUUGAAGGUGGACCAAGAAAAUGAUGAGCUCACAUUGGCCCUCGGUAAUCCAGAGCACCCAGGACGUUGCCGAGGGUUCGGGGUGGUUCCGUGGAAGUUCGCUUUCCGAGGCGACAGCGCCUCUUACAGAAGCCGGAAGCGAAGAAAGGAACAGAUCGAGGAGAGCUAGCGGCAGAUGCUAGAACAAAGAAUGAUGGAUGAAAUCAAUCGGCGGGUGGCCCACGCAGUUGCGGAGUUGGCCCAAUCUGGACCAAUGCCGAAUCCUAGCCCGGCCGGCGCCUGUGUGAACGCCGCGUGAGCAGUUGUGCUUCUACAGGGGUUCCCGAUGCGCAGACGCCCAGGUUACCCGUGGAGGACCGACGGGUUCCCCGUGCAUGCCAUCACGCAUUGGACCUCAUGUGAGCUGCAUGCACCGGUCGGCAACCUCACUAUUAAGGUAUACUUAUACAUAUAUUUAUGCAAUCUGUCAAAUUGAUCCAGGCCUCGAGAUCGAAGUUCAACUUGUUUACUUCUGCUAUAUGUACAGGUAGCGUACGGGAGUGCGUUAGUAACCCUGGUAGGGCAGAGCAGUCAUGGCAUGGACAUUCCAACAGGCUACGCCAGCGUCUGCGUAGAGCAAAUAGUUGAUCCCCGGUAUGAAGGUCUAGAGCUCGACUUCCCGGGAGGCGACGGGGAAAAGACAUUGGCAGAUGAGCUUCAUGGGAUCAUUCUAUGGAAGAAACGCUACAUCAUUAUUCCCGGCACGGAGCCAUCUCGUCAGACCUCAAGACCGCUCCCCGUAGAUCCCCAGCAGCGACCUUCUCCUCAUACCUUGAGACCGGCAUCUCCUGCUCCAGGACCGUCCCUUCCAUCUAUAUCAAGGUCUCCAUCUCCACCACAUCCUGGUGCUGGGAGCGACGACGACAAUAACAACACCCCUCCCCGAUCACCGUCGCCGGCACCAAGAGCGGCCCCCUUGAAGGAACCUGCAGCACCACUAAAGAAGUCACGAGCACCGCCUCCCAAGCAAAGACAGAGAAAGAAGAAAACAAAGGAGCCUGAAGUGACUCGUAAGGAACGCUGGGAGGCAAUGUCUCAUGAAGAACAGUGGGCAGAAAUCCAACGAGAGGCCAGUGAGUGGUUCAAGAAACAAGCCGAAGAAAAAAAGGCAAGGGAGAUGGAGCCACCGCCAGUAAGUCGGCGGGAUUUAAACUUUUUUAUCAGGAUGGAAGAAGGAGCCAAGAAAAGGAUACCACUCUUGUCAAACUAUGAACGGGCUCUAGUAAAGGCUGAUGAAAAGGAUAAAAGGAAAGGAAAGUCAUCUUCCAGCGGUCCAGUCCCCGACCUCAGCCAUUUAUCAAAAAAAGAUGCUCAACGGGUAAAAGCAAUGCCCUUGGAUCAACAAGCAAAUGUAUUGAAGUUCAUGGAAGAAACAGGUCUGGGACUUGAUGAAUGCAUAGGGCAAGUCGAGACGCCAACUGCACCGCCCCCUGAGCUGAAGUGGCCUUAUGAGCUAGGCAAACCUCUAGAAAGCCUUCAAUGGUAUGGAAGCUAUCAACAAAGAUGUACGAAUUCCAUCAAUGGUACAUGAUGGCAUCCGCCAACUCGAGGGAGAUGAUCGGCAUGAAGGUAAAACUGGUAGAUUUUCACGGUGAAGGGGAGAAAGUGCUGUGGCUAGACUUCAAGGAUAUAUACGAAGUGUACCAUCAUGAUGCCCUGGACGUCUCUCUGAUUAGCGCUUGGAUUCUGUAAGUGUCCGUUUAUCUCUACAUGUAAAUUUUGGCGUGCGUCACCGUACUAACUUCAUCUUCCAUUUCAUGUAGGAUGCUAAUUCAGACAUGCCGCCGAGAUGCGUACCUACAUAUAGGCUUCAUGGAUCCAUCUGUAGUUAACCAACAACAGAUACAAUUAGCGCCGGAAAAAACCUUUGCGGAAAUAUACAAUUUCCUACACAAACAAACAUUCAAGGAUUUCAUACUACUUCCAUACAACUUCAAGUAAGUGUGUGUAUACCGUCUACUUUCGAUGUCUUUUUCCUUAUCUCUACAUGUUAGUUAGCUCUAAUAUGCAUGAACAUUUUACGCACGCAGCUUCCACUGGAUCCUUAUUAUAAUUGAGCCUGAAAGAAGCCACGUCACUGUCUUUGAUUCAUUAAGGAAACAUUCGGUGGACUACCAAGAAUUGCAAGACAUGCUAGGCUUGUAAUAAUUCUGGACCUUUAUCUCUAUGCAAAAAUUUAUUUCCUAAAUUUUAUCCCUGUUACACUAUAUCAUUCAUUAUUUAAUCCGCAGCGCAUGGAAACAAUUCAUAAGGAGACACAAAGGUCCAUUCAAAGAAAAAAUUACAUGGAACACAGACUUCCCGGUACGUAUGCAGUCUGCACAUUUAUUACAUUGUAUAACACGAAUAUUUCAUAACUUAUUUUUUUCCGCACUGAAGUGCUUAAGACAGGAACCCGGGAAUAAUCUAUGUGGCUACUACAUCUGUGAGCACAUGCACAGUUUUUUGGGACCCAAGGGACCGAAGAUGACGCCGCACAACUUUAAAGUACGUAAAAUAAAACUAUUACUAGUUACUUAUUUUCUAGCUCCUUAUAUGUAUUUGUUCAUGUAACAUUCACAAAUUUCCAAAUUAUAGAUGUUAUAUAUUCAACAAGGAUUCUUGAAGGAAGAAAGAGUAGCGGCAAUAUGUGAAGGUCUCAUUGGAUUCAUAAUGGACGAGGUGGUAAAUACAAAAGGAGAAUUUUAUUACGAUGGACGACAAUUAGACACUCCGAUCAGCAACACCAAGACGGGAAGAUUGUAGGAAGAUACUUUGAUUUAUUUGUAUAUAUAAUACGCGCUAAUUAUGAUCGAUUUGUACUAAGCUAGUUGAAUUGUGUAUAUGAAUUGUGUAUAAGGAUUGUGUAUAUAUAUAGUAAUUGUAUAAUUACAAAUCCUAUUCGUUUAAAUACUAGUUGAUUUCGUUCUAAAAAAAUCUCAACUACAAGGUUAACAAAUUAAAAGGGCCGCGGUACUACGUAUACGUGAUGCAUGCAUGAAAAAUUCAGCGUCACGGCAGUGCCAUGCAAGCACCAUUUAGUCCCGGUUGGAAUCGAGCCGGGACUAAAAGGGACCCCUUAGUCCCAGUUGGAGAAUCCAACCGGGACUAAAGGGGUCCCCUUAGUCCCGGUUGGUGACACCAACCGGGACUAAAGGGGGACCUUUACUCCCGGUUAAAAGACCCGGGACUAAAGACCCCCUUUUGUCCCGGUUGGUUUAUCCCGGAUGGAUUUUCGAGAGAUAUGCACCCUACCAACCGGGACUAAAGGCCAAUUCUCUACUAGUGUCUUUUUGUCAUGACUGAAAUCAUUGGUCAUUCAAAAUAUUGUACUGUUCACUUUUUAACUCAAAUUUUGGCCAAAAUUUCAUCAACUGUGUUCAUUUCGAUAUCAAGAAAAAAAAGCCAUAAAUGGUCAUGUCCUACUGGCGUCAUAUGCUCAUAAUUUCACAUCGAAGUCCGCACAUGGCAUGUCGUUGGCAUGUCGUUGCCUGUGUGUUUUUAUUUUUAUUACGCUGCAAAGCAUAUCUAGUAAUGGCAUGUCAUCUGUUUGAUACCAGGAGCCCUGUUACGUCGACUUUUCGGACGCUAAUUAGAAGGAUUAAAUAUGAACUAAUUAUAAAAUUAAUUGCAGAACCCCUAGACUAAUUUGCGAGAUGAAUCUAUUAAACCUAAUUAAUCCAUCUUUAGCUAAUGGUUACUUUAGCACCACAUUGUCUAAUCAUGGACUAAUUAGGCUUAAUAAAUUUAUCUCACGAAUUAGCCUCUGUGUAAUUAGUUUUAUAAUUAAACUAUGUUUAAUACUCCUAAUUAGUAUCUAAACAUUCGAUGUGAUAGGGGAAAACACCCUAGACACAUGGCAUGUCAUUAGCUCGAGAGAAAGCAUUCGCUAGAGGAUGCUAGAUGGCCCCCAUUCCCCACGCAGACAGCUGAUCAAUCAGUGGUGUGGAGCCCUUGAGAUUAAGGUCUGGUUUGGUUCCGGUUGCUUAUUUUUAGCACGCGUCACAUUGAAUGUUUAGAUACUAAUUAGAAGUAUUAAACGUAGUUUAAUUAUAAAACUAAUUACACAGAGGCUAAUUCGUGAGAUAAAUUUAUUAAGCCUAAUUAGUCCAUGAUUAGACAAUGUGGUGCUAAAGUAACCAUUAGCUAAAGAUGGAUUAAUUAGGUUUAAUAGAUUCAUCUCGCAAAUUAGUCUAGGGGUUCUGCAAUUAAUUUUAUAAUUAGUUCAUAUUUGAUCCAGUCAGGACACGCGAGACUAACAUCGCCGGGGCGACAGCAAUUCUGUUUGAAUCAAAAGAUGAUAAAUGAUGAGUAGAGACUACUACAGCUGAUAGAUAUGCAAGGAACUUCACAAAUUAUAGAUCAACUCAAAUCAAGCUUCUAAGUCAUAUGAACUCAAUGAACACAAUAAGCACAUGAGANNNNNNNNNNNNNNNNNNNNNNNNNNNNNNNNNNNNNNNNNNNNNNNNNNNNNNNNNNNNNNNNNNNNNNNNNNNNNNNNNNNNNNNNNNNNNNNNNNNNNNNNNNNNNNNNNNNNNNNNNNNNNNNNNNNNNNNNNNNNNNNNNNNNNNNNNNNNNNNNNNNNNNNNNNNNNNNNNNNNNNNNNNNNNNNNNNNNNNNNNNNNNNNNNNNNNNNNNNNNNNNNNNNNNNNNNNNNNNNNNNNNNNNNNNNNNNNNNNNNNNNNNNNNNNNNNNNNNNNNNNNNNNNNNNNNNNNNNNNNNNNNNNNNNNNNNNNNNNNNNNNNNNNNNNNNNNNNNNNNNNNNNNNNNNNNNNNNNNNNNNNNNNNNNNNNNNNNNNNNNNNNNNNNNNNNNNNNNNNNNNNNNNNNNNNNNNNNNNNNNNNNNNNNNNNNNNNNNNNNNNNNNNNNNNNNNNNNNNNNNNNNNNNNNNNNNNNNNNNNNNNNNNNNNNNNNNNNNNNNNNNNNNNNNNNNNNNNNNNNNNNNNNNNNNNNNNNNNNNNNNNNNNNNNNNNNNNNNNNNNNNNNNNNNNNNNNNNNNNNNNNNNNNNNNNNNNNNNNNNNNNNNNNNNNNNNNNNNNNNNNNNNNNNNNNNNNNNNNNNNNNNNNNNNNNNNNNNNNNNNNNNNNNNNNNNNNNNNNNNNNNNNNNNNNNNNNNNNNNNNNNNNNNNNNNNNNNNNNNNNNNNNNNNNNNNNNNNNNNNNNNNNNNNNNNNNNNNNNNNNNNNNNNNNNNNNNNNNNNNNNNNNNNNNNNNNNNNNNNNNNNNNNNNNNNNNNNNNNNNNNNNNNNNNNNNNNNNNNNNNNNNNNNNNNNNNNNNNNNNNNNNNNNNNNNNNNNNNNNNNNNNNNNNNNNNNNNNNNNNNNNNNNNNNNNNNNNNNNNNNNNNNNNNNNNNNNNNNNNNNNNNNNNNNNNNNNNNNNNNNNNNNNNNNNNNNNNNNNNNNNNNNNNNNNNNNNNNNNNNNNNNNNNNNNNNNNNNNNNNNNNNNNNNNNNNNNNNNNNNNNNNNNNNNNNNNNNNNNNNNNNNNNNNNNNNNNNNNNNNNNNNNNNNNNNNNNNNNNNNNNNNNNNNNNNNNNNNNNNNNNNNNNNNNNNNNNNNNNNNNNNNNNNNNNNNNNNNNNNNNNNNNNNNNNNNNNNNNNNNNNNNNNNNNNNNNNNNNNNNNNNNNNNNNNNNNNNNNNNNNNNNNNNNNNNNNNNNNNNNNNNNNNNNNNNNNNNNNNNNNNNNNNNNNNNNNNNNNNNNNNNNNNNNNNNNNNNNNNNNNNNNNNNNNNNNNNNNNNNNNNNNNNNNNNNNNNNNNNNNNNNNNNNNNNNNNNNNNNNNNNNNNNNNNNNNNNNNNNNNNNNNNNNNNNNNNNNNNNNNNNNNNNNNNNNNNNNNNNNNNNNNNNNNNNNNNNNNNNNNNNNNNNNNNNNNNNNNNNNNNNNNNNNNNNNNNNNNNNNNNNNNNNNNNNNNNNNNNNNNNNNNNNNNNNNNNNNNNNNNNNNNNNNNNNNNNNNNNNNNNNNNNNNNNNNNNNNNNNNNNNNNNNNNNNNNNNNNNNNNNNNNNNNNNNNNNNNNNNNNNNNNNNNNNNNNNNNNNNNNNNNNNNNNNNNNNNNNNNNNNNNNNNNNNNNNNNNNNNNNNNNNNNNNNNNNNNNNNNNNNNNNNNNNNNNNNNNNNNNNNNNNNNNNNNNNNNNNNNNNNNNNNNNNNNNNNNNNNNNNNNNNNNNNNNNNNNNNNNNNNNNNNNNNNNNNNNNNNNNNNNNNNNNNNNNNNNNNNNNNNNNNNNNNNNNNNNNNNNNNNNNNNNNNNNNNNNNNNNNNNNNNNNNNNNNNNNNNNNNNNNNNNNNNNNNNNNNNNNNNNNNNNNNNNNNNNNNNNNNNNNNNNNNNNNNNNNNNNNNNNNNNNNNNNNNNNNNNNNNNNNNNNNNNNNNNNNNNNNNNNNNNNNNNNNNNNNNNNNNNNNNNNNNNNNNNNNNNNNNNNNNNNNNNNNNNNNNNNNNNNNNNNNNNNNNNNNNNNNNNNNNNNNNNNNNNNNNNNNNNNNNNNNNNNNNNNNNNNNNNNNNNNNNNNNNNNNNNNNNNNNNNNNNNNNNNNNNNNNNNNNNNNNNNNNNNNNNNNNNNNNNNNNNNNNNNNNNNNNNNNNNNNNNNNNNNNNNNNNNNNNNNNNNNNNNNNNNNNNNNNNNNNNNNNNNNNNNNNNNNNNNNNNNNNNNNNNNNNNNNNNNNNNNNNNNNNNNNNNNNNNNNNNNNNNNNNNNNNNNNNNNNNNNNNNNNNNNNNNNNNNNNNNNNNNNNNNNNNNNNNNNNNNNNNNNNNNNNNNNNNNNNNNNNNNNNNNNNNNNNNNNNNNNNNNNNNNNNNNNNNNNNNNNNNNNNNNNNNNNNNNNNNNNNNNNNNNNNNNNNNNNNNNNNNNNNNNNNNNNNNNNNNNNNNNNNNNNNNNNNNNNNNNNNNNNNNNNNNNNNNNNNNNNNNNNNNNNNNNNNNNNNNNNNNNNNNNNNNNNNNNNNNNNNNNNNNNNNNNNNNNNNNNNNNNNNNNNNNNNNNNNNNNNNNNNNNNNNNNNNNNNNNNNNNNNNNNNNNNNNNNNNNNNNNNNNNNNNNNNNNNNNNNNNNNNNNNNNNNNNNNNNNNNNNNNNNNNNNNNNNNNNNNNNNNNNNNNNNNNNNNNNNNNNNNNNNNNNNNNNNCAAUACAUUACACCAAAAUUUAUGACACACAUGUGAAAUCCCAGGUACUCGCACCAAUCACAAAGGUUGCCACAAAUAUGGUUCACUAAUUUAUUACAGAAAUCUGCAAGGGAAAAGCAGAUCAAGCCUCCGCACUCAUAGCCUUUACCAAUGAAUUGUCCAUGUUUAGACAUGACUAAUUUAUUUGGACUCUAGCCACUACCUUAAACCCGUCCUUGCAUAGGGCAGACCCGCUCAUUUGACAUGUGUUGCUACAGUAAACAUUUACUAAUGAUGGAUUAAUUAGGCUUAACAGAUUCGUCUUGCCGUUUAGCCUCCACUUAUGUAAUGGGUUUUGUAAAUAGUCUACGUUUAAUACUCCUAAUUAGUAUCUAAUGAUUCGAUGUGACACGUGCUAAAAAUAAGCAAAGGAACCAAAUGGCCCAAAGUCCAUGGAAAUUGUGCACUCUGAAUGGGGUCCGUGCGUCGCAGGCCUUGGUAGCAAGCAGAGCAGCGGCCUCCCAUUAUUGGUACCGCCAGUCCUCGGCUCAUUCACUGCAACUGCAAGUCGAUCUACAAGCUUAACCAAAGCCCAUCCAUUAUUCUUCCCUAGGGAGAUCUGAAGCACAAUCGAGGAGCUGACAUUGGUACAAAACUCGGUAUUAGUCUCGGAUGGUAGGAUGUAAAUCUCCUGAAAAAUCAUCUAGGAUAAAGCAAUCGAGACGGGGGGUAGGGGGGGCUUUUGUCCUGGGUCCCUAAACCGGGACUAAAGACAGCCUUUAGUCACAGUCUGUAAAACCAACCGAGACUAAAGGGGCCUGUCCCGGUUGGUUUUACACACCGGGACUAAAGGUCGCCUCUUUAGUCCCGGCUGAAAUUUUAGCGCGCGCCACUUUAGUUAGGCUUCCAUGUGCGUGUAAUUUCAUGCAUCACGUAUGUAUCCUUUUGGUUCAACCUUUUUUUAUAAUGAAAUCAAACUAGUAUUUAAGCGAAUACUAUAUAUAUACAAUUCUUAGUAUAUAUAUAUACAAUAUAUUCUUAUGGCAUACUAUAUAUGUACAAAUCUUAGUGUAUAUUAUAUGUACACAAAUCAAACUAUAUAUAUAUAUAUAUAUAUAUAUAUAUAUAUACGAUCUUCCCGUAGAGGUGUUGCUCCGAGCGUCUAAUUUUCGUCCAUCGUAAUAAAAUUCUCCUUGUGGAUUUACCAUAUCGUCCACUAGGAAUCCAAUGAGACCUUCACAUAUUGCCACUACUCUUUCCUUCCACAAGAGUCCCUCUUGAAUACUAUACAUCUAUAAUUUGGAAACAUGUGAAUUUUACACGAUCAUUUAAAUAUAAGGAAGUAGAAAAUAAUUAACUAUUAAUAGUUUUAUUUUACGUACUUUAUAUUCAUGCGGUGUCAUCUUGGCAGUCUUGGGUCCCACAAAAGUGUGCAUGUGCUCACAGACGUAGUAGCCACAUCGAUUAUUAUUACUCCCGGGUUCCUGUCUUAAACACUUCAGUGGGGAAAAAACAAGUUAUGAAAUAUUCGUGCUAUAGAAUGUACAAAAUGUGCAGACUUCAUACGUACCGGAAAGUCUGUUCUCCAUGUAAGUUUUUCUUGGAAUGGACCUUUGUGUGUCAUGAUGAAUUCACUCCACGCACUGAGAAUAAAAAUAAUGAAUGAUAUAGUGUUAGGUAAAAAUUUAGGAAACAAAGUUUUGCAUAGAGAUAAAGGUCAAGAAUUAUUACAAUCCUAGCAUGUCUUGCAUGUCUUGGUAAUCCUUCAGUGGCCUCCUCAAGGAAUCGAAGAUAGUGAUGUGGCUUCUAGCCAGGUCAAUUAUAAUGAGGAUCCAGUUGAAACUACAUUUGUAGAUGUUCAUAUUAGAUCGAGCUAACUAGGUACGGAAAAAGAAAAUGAAAAUAGAUGGUAUACACACACUUACUCGAAGUUGUAUGGAAGUAGUAUGCAAUUCUUGUAUUUUUGUUUGUCCAGGGAAUUGUAUAUUGCCAUCAACGUUUUGUCCAGCACAUCCUGUAUCUAUUUUUGGUUAACUACGGAUGGAUCCAUGAAGCCAAUGUGGAGGUACGUUGAAUUAGCGUCCUACAUAAAAUGGAAGACGAAGUUAAUUACUAUGAUGAAGCAUGCACAAAAAAUAAUGAUAUAAGCCAAAAUUUACAUGCAGACAAACGGACACUUACAGAACCUAGGCGCUGAUCAGAGAGACAUCCAGGGCAUCAUGAUGGUACACUUCAUAUAUAUCCUUGAAUCGUAGCCACAUGACUUUCUCACCUACGUCGUGAAAAUCUAUCGGUUUUACCUUAAGGCCGAACAUCUCCCUCUCAUCAGCAGACAACUUCAUAUACCAUUCAUGGAAUUUGUACAUCUUCGUUGGUAGUUUCUUUACCAACUCAGGGCUUACAAGAGGCUUGCCCAGCUAAAAGGUCCAUCUCGGUUCAACUAGCGGUGUAGCUGGCAGCUCACUUGCCCUAGGCAUUCAUCAAGUCCCAUACCUGUUUCUUUCAUGAAUUUCAAUGCUUUUUUUACUGAUCCAAGGGCAUUGCUGCUAUCUUUUUAGCAGUUUUUUGGUAGAUGCCCGAGGUCGAGGACAGCAGCACUGGAAGAUGACUUCACUUUCCUUUUUUCUUCUCAUCAGCCUUGACUAACGCCCGUUCGUAGUUUGAUAGUGGUGGUCGUGACUUGUUGGCUUCUUCUUGCAUCCUAAUAAAAAAAUUUAAUUCUCUUCGAUCUACUGGCAGUGGCUCCAUCUCCCUUGCUUUUUUAAUUCUCGCUAUUUCCUGAACCACUCACUAGUAUUUGCUUGGGCUUCGGCCCAGCAUUCCUCUUGAGUCAUUGCCUCCCAGUGUUCCUCAGGAGUCACUUCAGGCUCCUUUGUUUUCUUCUUUCUCUGCCUUGGCUUGGGAGGCGGUGGUCGCAACUUCUUACAUGGUGCCUCAUCAGGUUCCUUUCUCGGGUCUGCUCUUUAGUCCUGGUGAUGGUGAUUGGGGAGGGGUGUUGUUGUUGUUAUCAUCGUUGCUCCAACCACCAGGAUGUGGUGGAGAUGGAGACCCUGAUCGAGCAGGAAGCAAUGGUCCUGGAGCAGGUUCUGGUGGAGAUGACAGUCUUGAUGUUUGAGGAGAUGGUCACUGCUUGGGAUCUACGGGGAGCGGUCUUGAGCUCUAAGGAGAUGCCUCCACGCCGGGGAUGAUGAUGUAGCAUUUGCACCAUAGAAUGACACCGUGAAGCGCUUCUCCUAUUGUUGUUGUCCCGUCAGCUGGCGGGAUGUUGAGAUCUAAGCCUUCAUAUUUGCUAUCAGCGAUCUGCUCUAGGCCAAUGCUGGCGUAGCCAGGUGGAAUCUCCAGGCCAUGGCUUGUCCGCACUGGCAGGAUUGGUAAGGCACUCCCGUAAGCCACCUGUACAUAUAGAAGAAAUGAAGACAAGCUAUUAAACUCCGAUCCUGAGGUGUGGAUUGAUGGAUUGAGAUUGCCGACCGAUGCAUAAAUAUUAUGUAUAAGUAUACCUUAAUGCUGAGGUUGCCGACAGGUGUAUACAGCUCACAUGUGGUGCGAUUCGUGAUGGCAUCCAUAGGGAACCGUUGCACGUCCACGGGUAAUCUUGGCAUCUGUGGAUCAGGGAACCCUGUGGAUGCACAGCUGCUCCCAAGGUGUUGAGAAGGGCUAGCAACUGCGUUGGCCCCACACUGACUGACUUCCUCCUGCAUUCUUACUUCCACAGAAUGCAAUUUGGCUUCUAUCAUGCACCGCCAGCUCUCAUCCUCUUGUGCCUUUCUUCGCUUCUCACUUCUGUUUGUGUCCAAGUUGCCUUAGAAUGCGAACUUCCACGGAACAAACCUGAACCCUCGGGUACAUCCUGGGUGUUCGGGAUUCCCGAGGGCCAAUGUGAGCUCAUCAUUCUCUCGGUACACCUUCAACCUCCCAACCUUAACAUCUUCAAUAUUCUUGACAAGCCUUUCGGACUUCUCACGUAAUGUCUCAAUGAAGAUCAGUGUCCCAUCCUCUUCACUCAGAGAGCCUCCAGGAGCGUAAUACCAAUUUUUCGAUCGAUCGGGCUAGUCAAAAGUUGCUGGUACGAUACCCCGAACGAUCAAGCAUUGUUCCAUCUCCUUCCAUUUGGGAACUGCUUUGCCAUAACCACCUCACCCUAGAUGAUGAUGGUACUCCUUGUGACCAGCAUUCCUUGUGUUGGUGAUGACCUUGUUCACAACGUCAUUGCUUCUCUUGUAUUGUACAAAUGUCUCCCAGUGGUCCCUCAACUGUGGUAACUUAGUAAAAUCCGGAGUUCAGUCCUCCUUAAUGUACUUUGCAUCCAGCAUCUUCUUGAAUGUCUAGAAUUGUGUGGCCAUCUUCUUCAGCGUCAACGCUUUCACAUUAUUUUCAUUAUAUCUAUCAGGAAAUGUGAAAUAUCUCUUGACAUUUUCCCAUAGCAUAUUCUAUCAGCGAUGUCAAACUUCAUAUUUUCCUUCACCUUCGAAGGACCUCUGGGCUUCUGAUGGUUCAUCAAUCCAGAGGACUAACAAUUCAAGUUUCAUUAAUUAGUAUAUAGGAAUAAUGAAUAAGACAUUAUAGAUUAUAUAUAUAUACCUUGUCGGAACCUUCCGCCAUGGCAAAGUUUUGUUCGGGUUUGGGCUCUUCAUUGCAAUUGUUGGAACCUUGCGCCACGUCAAAGUUUCACUCUAGCUCGAGCUCUUCAUUGCCAUCACCGGACAUGUUCAAAAACAUAUCCACCUGGCUACUCUCUUCAUUGGUGUAUGUUUUGGGAUGGUUGGAGGCACUACCAUCACCAAUAAUAAUCCGCUCCAUUUGAUACACAUCGUCAUCUGCUAUCUCAACUACUUCAAACACACGUGAAAUCAUAGUUACAUGUACGUUAAAGGUAUAUACAUGAAAUCAUAGAACAACCAUGCAACAUUUCUAAGCAUUUCUAGUAAUUUGUAAGAAUUGCUACCAAAUUUCUAUGAAUUUUUACUAAUUUUUGAAGCAUUUCUACUAAAUCAUAGUAACGUAUUAAAAAUUAUAAUAAAUUUAUACAAAAUUUUACUAAGCAUUUAUAUACUAAAUAAAAAGUGCCUAUUAAUUUCUAUUGACUACCUAAUAAAAAAUAAAAAGUGCGUGCAGUGCAGUGCCGGGGCCGGGACGAAUUGGCCGGGCGACGGAGACGGAUGGCCGGGGCGAUAGAGGCGACGACAGGGACGGAUGGCCACGGCGAUGAGGUGGCAACGGGGACGUAGCAAGGCCGCGGCGUCGGGGAUGGCACGGUGUUGACGGUGAUGGAGGAGGGUGGUGAAGAUGAUGACGGCGACGACGGGGGGACGAUCGCGGCGACGGGGAUGGCGCGGUGGCAGCGGGGAUGAAGGAGGCCGGCGAUGGGGACGAGGAGGCCGACGAAGAUGAUGACGGCAGUGGCGACGGAGAUGGAUGGCAAAGGUGACGAGACGCCACGACGGAGGAAGCCGGCGAUGAGGAGGUGGUGGUGGCGGGACUUGGACGACGAGAGUCAAAAUUUCACUAAGUGUUGGGCGCGGGGGGUAGAACACGACUAUUUAACCUUUUAUUCAAGCCCUUUUUUAUCCUGGUUCGUAACUGAACCCGGGACUAAGGGUCCUUUUAUUUGGGUGGUAGUUCCAAACCGAAAAAAAAAGUCCCCCCCCCCCCCCCCCCCGCCCGCCUUUUAUCUCGCUUUAUACUCACAUGAGAUAAAAGGUUCCCCCCUUUCAUCCCGAUUUAUGCUCAUCCGAAAUAAAAGGCCCCCAUUUAUCCCAGUUGCAUACUCAAAAAGUACCCUUUUAUUCCGGUUCGAGUAUGCAACCGGGAUAAAAGGGGGGCCUUCUCCCAUUUUUCAUCUCCCAUCUUGUUGCUGGAAAUGGAUUUUAUUUAUGUUUUCAUUGGAUUUCAGGAAGCAAAAAAUAAAAAAAUUACAUAUUUUAAACAUGCAAAAAUAUAUUAAAUUAGCAAGUUUGUUUACAAUAAAUUUGAAUGAGUCAUAAAUAUAUGUUGUAAGGAUAAGACAACACAAAUUACCAUCUUUUGCACAACAACAAAUGUGACCUUUGGAAGAUAGCCCUCCUCUUCCAACAGAGGUACCUUUCUACAACUAAGACAACGCAAGUUUUGUAAGGAUAAGACAACACAAAUUACCAUCUUUUGCACAACAACAAAUGUGACUCUUGGAAGAUAGCCCUCCUCUUCCAACACAAAUCUUAGAGAGAACCACUUCAGAUGAUAAUUCAAAUACAUAUGAAAAAUUAAGUACUUAAGUUCAUACAACAUUACUUGUCUUAGAGAGAAGUUCAAAUACAUAAGACAAAUACUACAUCCAUGCAUCCCACUGGUCUAGUCCGGCUCAGUUAUAGACCAUAACUGAUAUCUCCAAUCUUAAAGUCUAGAACGUCAUCAAUAUAAGUUAGAGCAUGAACUAGUGCACUCUCUAGCGAUUUGUACUGAAAUGCAUUUGGACAACCAUAAAUCUCAAGCAAUGGUGUGUCCGUCGCUUCAGAUACCUUGUAGAAAGAGAUCUUAGUCUGGCACAUGAACUCUCUAUCACGUGUCGGUAAUCCAGCGCUAUGUCUAUAUCCCAACCUUUCCACGACUUGCUCUAGAAUCACUUCAAAGGUUAUUGCCACAAAGGUUCGAUUAUAGGCAUCCUAAAAGAAGAGAAUAACAUUAUUAUAAAUUUAAAAUCUGUAACAUAAUUAAAGAUAAAAGGAUGAUUAGAUCCAUACCAUGUUAUUAUGUAGAUUCAGCUGACAUAGUAGCCUAUCAGCAGUCUUAAUCACUCUAUUGCUUCCCUCCUCAAGCGCCUUUAUUUUAAAAUACGAGUAGUCUGGCAGAUUGUAACCAUGAUGCUUUAGCUUUCACAGGCAUGCCGCCACAGCAGUCAUUUCAUAUUCUGCCGUAUCUAUGGAUGGUUGACCCGAUGCGUCAAUUGCAACCAUCAGCUUGGGCUGUACUCUUGGUGCUCCUCGAAUGGGUAUUUGAAAAGAGAUGUGCUGGCGUCUAACUAGACUAACUACAUCUUGUCGCACUCUAGGACAAAGAAAUAACAUUACUAUGCUUGGAAGUGCUUGGAUGCUUGGAUUGCCUUUUGCCAUGACGAUCCGGGAGUAGGGAAGUGAACUCGUGCAGGACAUGACACCUCGAUGAUAGGUACAUUUCUAGAUGACAUUCCUGCUGGACGUGCAAGUUCAACAAAUGUACGGAUUUGAAAAAACAUAUUGAAUUUGACAAGAUAAACUGUCUAGACAAGCUAGGGUAGCAUCAUUCUUAAACCGCUGCGAGGAUACAUAUAUACUAUAUAUGACACGUAUGACAUACUAAUUUUUUCCUCAUAAUUAAUAUUGAAAUGCUCUAUAUAUCCAUCACCAUUUUUCUACACAUCAAGCAAACUAUCUAUCCAUCACCAUUCUACACAUCAAGCAAACUAUCCAUCACUAUUCUACAUAUCAAGAAAACUAUCCAUCUCCAUAACAUCAAUCAAAUAAAUCCUCUUCAAUCUCUCUCUCUUUCUAACAAGACUCAAUUUUCUCCGUCUCUCUCUAUAUAAAGCAUAAAAUAAAGCAUAACAACAAUAAAUGAGUGGAGGAUGAAGUAGCUAACAUUCACAACACUUUGGAUGACCGAAAUCCCCACGAAAAUGAGGAAAAAAAAUUUGGCAGGACCUCCCCUAGGUUUUCUUCGGCGCCAGGAAGUGAACUGUCUUUGUGGAGUGGCUCGGGCUGGAGGAGGAAGAAAGACCUCUGCCUUGGUCUAUAACGGUGGGAUGAGUUUUUAUCCCAGUUUAAAAUUACAACCGGGACAAAAAGGACCCCCUUUUGUCCCGAUUUAAGUUUACUCCCGGUUAUAGCGUCCAAUCGGGACAAAAGAUCCAGCUUUUUGUCCCAGUUGGCGUUCGCAACCGGUAACUACAACCGGGACAAAAGGUCGGAUCUUUUAUCCCGAUUUGAGGCUCCAACCGGGACAAGAGGGUGGCGCCGCCGAUGCCUGGGAACUAGCCUUUACAACCGGGGCAAAAGUGUGGCCUUUAGUCCCGGUUGCAAACAAGAAUUGGGAGCAAAGGUGCGCCUCAUUCCAGCCUACUGUGGCGCACCCCUUUUCUCCCGAGCCUACAUUAAACCGGGACUAAAGGGGGAGGAUCAAAAGUCAGUUCUCUACUAGUGUGAAUCAGCAAGGUUCGUAUAAUUCAACUAAUCUGUGCAUCAAAACAAACUUAUAGGCGUAAGAAUCUCUUAAAACCAAUUUAAAACACUAAAGAUAAGAGCUAAACAAGGUUCAAGGGCUUAACUGUGAGAAAACUAAACUUUCAAGGGCUAAACAUAAAGAAACCGAGGGCUAAAACCUAAUUAAACACAUAAACAAAAGGUCUAACGCGUCAAAAGACCAAACAGGAUGGCGGGCGGGAUUUUAUAAAAGAACAGGGCUAAAACAGAAGAAAAGGGACCUAGAUCUAAUUACUUUUGAACACCAUAGGACCUCAGGUGCAAAAAGGGAGAAAAAUAGGGGCCUUCUUGCAAAAGAAGCAUGCGCGGCUUGAUUUGACUAGUAUUGACCCUGGUCAGAUCUGAUCUGGGCCAUCAGUUUGCGAUAAGACAGCUACGAUCGGCUGGUAGGGGACGGGCGGUGCACGGGUGACGGAGACAGCAACGCUCGGCGAUCUCGUCAGAAUUCGCUCAAAAACGACAUGAUGGGGUUUAGCUCCGGACGAAGCGGGGUGCACGGCUGUCAUACCCUCAAAAUUUCAAAUUUCAGAAUAUAAUUAAUAAGGAAUAAUUAAACAAUAAUUUUCUAUAAUUUAAAAUUUUUCCCAACAUUUAUUUUUCUUCACAGGAAAUUUAGCAUAGGAAAAAAAUAAUUGUUUACUUUUCAGAAUUAAAAAUGUUGUUCUAUGUAUGUGCAUUCAUGCUGAUCCAUCUUAGUGUUUCAUGAGUGAAAAUGUUUCAAAAAUGCGUUUAGACGUGUCCAAGCCCUUUUGAGAAUUUUUCUAGCUUUUUCUGGAAUUUAUUCUCCUUUUUCCUCGUGUCUGAAACUGUCUCUAGGAAAUUUCCAGGAAUUUUUGGGAUUUUCUGAAUUUUUUUCAUGCUCUAAAAACAUUAUCUAGAGUUUUCUGGAUUUGUUUUUACACUGAAAAUAUUUACGAAAAUAAUCUUUCCUUUUGGGCCAAGCCUGUACCCUAGAACUCAACCCGCUCCAAUCAGCCAAUUUCGUCAACCCAUCUUCCCCCUUCCACCGGCCCAUCAGCCCACCCGUGCCCCUAUCCUUCUCUCCCACCGAUAAGUGGACACCACGUGCAGGUUCAUCCUCUACCUCCGACCGUCCUUCCCUCUGCCUACCAUGGUGUCGCAUCCCUCUACCUGCAGCACUGUACACCGUCCUCCCAGCGCCCCUCCGCCUCCCCGGCAUCCUCCGUGUCAGUGUGCAAGCAGCCAUCCGCUCCGCCUCCUCUCCUGUAACGGCCGCUCCACCAAGCACCUCAUUUAUGGCCAGCCGCCACUUUUCUCUCCACUGGUGCUGCCUCAGCUUCCUCCUCCACCCCUAUAAAAUGCCCUGCCACCACCAGAGUCCCUUUCCCCACCCUUUUUCACCACCAACUGCCACCAGAGACACCGCCUGCACCAUAAGCGUUGCCGCAGCCUUGCUGCCCCGCUGAAGCAGCCACCUCCUGCGCUGCCCCACCCCCACGUCCCACGCCUGCACGCCUAGCCGUGCCACUCACCUGAGCACUGAGCCAUCUCAAGUCCUGCGCUGGAGCGCAGCCUAUCGCCCUCCCGGGCCUUCGCCGUGUCAGAGCACCAGCGAACUCUGGCCUGUGCCGUCCCCUGGCGUGGAGUGGAAGAAGAAGAUAAGGUGACGUUUUGCAGUCUAGCCCUGAAGAACUUGUAAUCUUUGCCUUGUGCUUUGUGUCUUGCAACAUUCACAGAAAAGCGCUCAAACUCUUCAGUUUCUCUCAAUCUAAUUCAUGUCGUGACCUUUUGCAGAUCUAACCCCCAGGUUUCACUUUUCGUGGGCUCUGUUCUUUGUGUAUUGGUAAUGUUUCUUGCUAACCCCUGUAAUCUACGGUUAAUCGCGAAUAGGUCAUUAGGAGCGUUGGUUGAUGAACUUUUACAACUCUAGAAGGAAGAAGGUGUACAUGUGUGGGAUGAGGAUAAACAAGAGAUGUUUAACCUACAAGCAUUAUUGUUCAUAACCAUUAAUGAUUGGCCUGCAUUGAGUAACAUUUUGGAUAGACAAACAAGGGAUAUCGGGACUGCACCCACUGUUUAGACGACACAGAUAGCAUGUAUUUGAAGCAUUGUAAGAAGAUCGUCUAUAUGGGUCAUCAUCAAUUUCUCCCUCCUCACCACCAACUGAGAGACAAUGGGAUACAUUUCAAAGGGGUGCUAGAAAUUCAUAAAAAACCUACACACCAUAAUUGAAAGCGUGUCUUUGAGAUGAUAAAGGAUGUAAGGUAGUCUUUGGAAAGGGUCUUGGUAGCCAACCUGUUCCAACCGACGAUGACGGACGUGCAGCCAUGUGGAAGAAGAAGUCAAUAUUUUGGGAGCUACCUUAUUGGAAAAUCCUAGAGGUCUGCAACACAAUAGACGUGAUGCAUUUACGUGAACGUGCUAGGCUUCGUGGGUGUUUAUGGACGCUCAAAAGAUAGAUUGGGAGCACGAUGGGACCUGAAAGACAUGGGGCAAUGGGAUGACCUACAUCCGAAAAAGAGAGAUAAUGGACAACACUACUUACAUCCUGCCAGUUACACUAUCAGCAAGGAAGAGAAGGAUAGCGUGUUUGAAUGCUUGAAUAGUACGAAGGUCUCGUCUGGGUACUCCUCGAAUAUAAAGUGAAUAAUAAAUAUGAAAGAAAAGAAGUUCACAAAUCUCAAGGCUCAUGACUGCCACAUGUUGAUGACCCAGUUGCGUUCGGUUGCACUGAGGGAUGUUCUACCAGAGAAUGUUCGAUUGCCGCUCGUAAAGCUAAGCAUGUUUGUUAAUGCCAUUGCGUAGAAGGCAAUCAAUCCAUCGAAGCUACCUAAGCUAUAGAACGAUGUGGUGCAAUAUCUUGUCAGCUUUGAGUUGGUAUUUCCACACAGGUAGAUGCUAGUUUCCAAAAACCUGACGAGAUCUGAUGCCUGGCUUAUACAUCAUCACGUGGAAUCUUUUCCCUCCUAGUUGCGACAACAACUUAUGGGUAACUCUGAGAUUCACCCACAGCUUGCGUGGUUAGCUAGGGGACCUUCUAGCACAAUCAUGAAAUUCCAAGGCUACGAGAUAAAUGGUUAUACAUUUUACAUGAGAUACCAAGACUAGAAAAGCACGAACCAGAAUAAUGGUGUCCGCAUAGAUGCCAUAAACAGAAACAGUAGCAUGGACUCAUAUUAUGGUUUCAUCGAGGAGAUAUGGGAACUUGAAUACAGACCACUGUGCAUCCCUCUGUUUUGUUACCAAUGGGUGAAGCUAAAUGGCAUAACCAAAUAUCAGUAUAGAAUGACAAUAGUGGACCUAAGCAAGAUCAGAUAUAGUGAUGAACCAUUCGUACUUGGCAAUGAUGAGCAUCAAGUUUUCUAUGUGAAGGACAUGUCUAGCAGACCCAAGAGAAAUCUAGAAAAGCCAUGGAAGCCAAAGCGCCACAUAGUUCUUCCAAGUAAAAUAAAAAUCAUGGGAGUCGAGGACAAAACAGACCAAUCAGAUGAGUAUGAUCAAUUUGAUGGCAUGCCUCCAUUCGCUGUUGAAGUUGACCCAAGCAUCUUGCUAUCCAAAGAAGAGGCUCCGUACUUACGCCGUGAUCAUGACCAAGAAACUUUCAUGAAGAAGAAGUUUUUGAACGUUACAUUGUAAUGCGGUAAAUUUGCUUCACCUUUAUGUAAUGUUACAUUGUAAGGUUCUAUGAUUUCGUGUACUACUUGAUAUAAUUUUUAAUUUAACAUAUCUAUGAUUUCAUGUGUAUUUAAAUUAGUUGAGGUGAAGAUUUAUUCGAUCAAUAUAAACAAUGUUAACCACAUACAUCAAUUGAAUUAGUUGAGGUGAAUAAUUUGUUGAUGAUAGUGAUGAAGUAAAAUAAUUAUUUUAGAAGCUAUAAUAACUAGUAUAGAAUUAAUGACUCAUUCAAACUUAUCGUAAAUAUACUUGCUAUUUAAUAUAUUUUUGCAUGGUCCAAACAUGUAAAGUUCUUAUUUUUUUUCUUUAACAAAACCAGUUGAAAACAUAUAUGAAUUUGUGUGUUAAAAUAAGUUGAGAUGAAGAUUUAUUCUAUCAAUAUGAACAAUGAUACCCACAUAAAUCAAUUAAAUUUUUCACGCGUUUGAAAUUAUUUAAUUGAUAAUUUCUUGAUGAUAGUGAUGAACUAAAAUAAUUAUUUUAGAAGCAAAAAGGAAUAGUAUAGAAUUUAUGACUCAUUCAUGAUUAUCGUAAAUAUACUUUUUAUUUAAUAUAUUUUUGUAUGUUCAAAAUAUGUAAAAUUUUUAAUUUUUGUUUCCUGAAAUCCAGUGAAAACAUAAAUAAAAUCCAUUUCUAAAAACAGGUGGGAGAUGAAAACUGGGAGAAGGAGCUUUUAUCCGGGUUAAGGGCCCCCCUUUUAUCCCGGUUGCAAUCUGAAACCGGGAUAAAAAGUUACUUUUCAUUUCCCGCCUGGAACGUACCCUUUUAUCUCGGUUCUAGAUUGAACUGGGAUAAAAUGAGGGGCCUUUUAUCCCAGGUGCUUUGCAACCAGGAUAAAAGGGUUGGCCUUUUAACCCGGGUGCUUUGCAACCAGGAUAAAAGGUAUCCCGGUUCGUAAUUCCACCCGGGACAAAAGCUCCUUUAGUCCUGGGUGGACUUACGAACUGGGAUAGGGGGGAGGGGGUAAAAGUAACAGGCGUAACGCACACUGUGCAUGCGGAGGUCGAAUCAUCCGACUGAUUGGAUCCGUGAGAGUUGGGACAAAUGAAAAAUUCCUCAGAAUACGAGGGUCCCAUUCAAGAAAUGUGUCUGGGCCACGGCCGUAACAAAGGAGGUUUCCUCUCAACGCGAGGAAAGGGAUGGCUACCUGCUGAGUGACGACGACGCGCAAGCAGCGCCCUAUGAGUCGGAGCCGGCCGUCAUCGUAGGUGCAGCGCCGCUUGCCAUUGCCUGGGAAGGAACUGAUCCUAGAAAAUGUUUCAAUGCUAGUACUUCUUCACAUGGAGACUUGAUGGAUCGAGACACACAAGCAUGGAGGCAAUCCGCUCUCGCGGUGGAGGUGGAGCGCGUCAUGGCUAUGGUGCUCUGUUGCGGGCACCCGAACCCGCGCGCGCGGCCGUCCGUCAGGGCAGCCAUGGCCGCUCUCCAAUCCAAUGGCCCGCUGUCGCCGACAUUGCCUGCCAAUGCAAGAUGCCCGUGCCAACAUAAACGGUGCCAGUGGCCUCUGCUUCAUCUUCAGGGAUGACGAUGUCCUCCAGUUUCACCCAGACGACCAUGACAAUGACGACUCACACCUCCUGCUCCUCGGACACGUCCUCCACUUCAGCUGAUUUGAAGGACUCAUCUUCGCUACUCAAACAUCAGUACUAGUGACUAAUUGUACAAUACUUUAUUUUAUUUGUUCUUAAUUAUCUUAAGAGCCAUUGUUCCUAUUUAGUAGAACAUUAUAUUUUCCAUUCGCAGUAGAUAUCUCUACUCUAUCUAUCUAUGUGUUCUUUAUGCAACGCCACGUCCACACCUGUAUACUCCCUCCGUUUUUAUAUAUAAGGUGCGCACACAUAUCAAGAUUGUCUAAUGUUUUUUGCAAGGCCUAAAUAUUACAAUAACAUUAACUCUAUUUUUCCCAUGCCUAAUAUUGAUCAAGUUCAUUAUCUAAUACGAUGCGGAUGGACCGACAGUGGAUGUAUAACGCGGACAGAUGGACCAAGGAGUUUGUCGAUAGCUUACAUUAUUUUCUCGAAGUGGCAAAAGCUAACAAGCCAGAGAACGGGUUCAUAUAUUGUUCAUGCUUCCAAUGUAGUAACAAGAAGAACUACUCUUCCUGGGGGACUAUUCAUAGCCACUUGUUUAGACACGGUUUCAUGCCUAACUAUUUGGUUUAGACCAAACACGGUGAAAGAGGGGUUGUAUUGGAAGACAGCGAAGAGGAGGAGGAUGAUGACAACAUUCCGAACUGGGCUGCAUGCCAGGAUUUUGCAGAUACUACAAUGGGCGAGACUGAUGAAGAUGAGUUUGCAGAAGAUAGUGAAAGUGACAAGGAAGCAGCAAAGUUGCAGCACAUGAUAGAUGAUCACAGAAAAUUGUUCUACCCGAUUGCCAGGGAGGCCAUAAAAAGCUGGGCACCACACUAGAAUUUAUGCAAUGGAAGGCUAAACAUGGUGUGUCCGAUAAGACAUUUCAGGGGAUGUUCGAAAUUGUCAAAAAAAAAUUUCCCGAGAAUAAUGAAUUGCCAUCCACAAUAUAUGAAGCUAAACAUAUUGUUUGCCCUCUGAUAUUGGAGGUUCAGAAGAUGCAUGCAUGCCCUAAUGAUUGUAUCCUCUAUCGUGGUGCUGAAUAUGAGAUACUGGAUGCUUGUCCCAUGUGCGGAGCGCUGUGGUAUAAGAUCAGGCGAGAUGAUCCUGGUGAUAUAGAGGGGCAGCCUCCCAGGAAGAGAGUUCCCGCGAAUGUAAUGUGGUAUUUCCUAUAAUACCACACUUGAAGCGCUUGUUCAAGAACAACGUGAAUGCUAAGUUGGUGCGAUGGCACAAAGAAGAAUGUAAGCAAGAUGAGAUGCUGAGACACCCCGCUGAUGGAGCCUGGUAGAGAUGAAUUUAUAGAGCAUUCCUAGACUUUGAAAGUGAUGCAAGGAACAUAAGGUUUGGUUUAAGUACUAAUGAAUUCAGUCCAUUUGGUGAGUUUAGUAGUGAUCAUAGUACUUGGCCUGUGACCCUAUGUAUGUUCAACCUUCCUCCUUGGUUGUGCAUGAAGCGGAAGUUCAUUGUGAUGUUGGUGCUUAUCCAAGGCUUAAAACAACCCGGCAAUGACAUUGACGUGUACAUAAGAUCAUUGGUUGAUGAACUUUUACUGCUCUGGAAGGAUGAAGGUGUACGUGUGUGGGAUGAGGAUAAACAAGAGAGCUUUGACCUACGAGCAUUAUUGCUCGUAACCGUCAAUGAUUGUCCUACGUUGAGUAACCUUUGAGGACAAACAAACAAGGGAUAUUGGGCACGCACCCACUGUUUGGACGACACAAACAACAAGUAAUUGAAACACUGUAGGAAGGUCAUGUAUAUGGGGCAUCGUCGAUUUCUCCCUGCUAGCCACCCGUUAAGAAAGAAAGGGAUGCAUUUCCAAGGGGCUCAAGACCUAAAGAAAACCUACACAUCGUAAUGGAUAGCGUGUCUUGGUAGUGAACCUGUUCCGAAUGACGAUAAAGGACGUGCACCCAUGUAGAAGAACAAGACUAUAUUUUGGGAGUUACCAUAUUGGGAAAUCCUAGAGAUCCGCAACGCAAUAGACAUGAUGCACCUGAUGAAGAAUCUUUGCAUGAAUGUGCUAGGCUUCAUGGGUGUUUAUGGGAACUAAAAAUAUACAUUGGAAGCACGACAAGACCUGAAACGUAUGAAGCAACGAGAUGACCUACAUCCGGAAAAGAGAGAUAAUGGACAACACUACUUAUAUCCUAGUAUUUACACUCUCAGCAAGGAAGAGAAGGAUAGCAUCUUUGAAUGCAUGAAUAGUAUCAAGGUUCCGUAUGUGUACUCCUCAAAUAUAAAGGGAAUAAGAAAUAUGAAAUAAAAGAAGUUCACAAAUCUCAAGGCCCAUGACUGCCACAUAUUCAUGACCCAAUUGCUUCCGGUUGCACUGAGGGGUAUUCUACCAGAUAAUGUACGAUUGGCGCUCGUAAAGCUAUGUGCGUUUAUCAAUGCAAUUUUGUAGGAGGCAAUCGAUCCAACCAAGCUAGUAAAGCUAUAGAAUGAUGUGGUACGAUUUCUUGUCAGCUUUGAGUUGAUAUUUCCAUAAUCCUUCUUCAAUAUUAUGAUGCACCUCCUAAUUCACCUAGUCAAAGAAAUUACUAUUCUCGGUCCAGUAUUCCUACACAAUAUGUGGCCUUUCGAGAGGUUCAUGUCAGUCCUAAAAAACUAUGUUCAUAAUUGUGCCCAUCCAGAAGGAAGCAUCGCCAAGUGAUAUGGAAUGGAAGAGGUCAAUGAUUUUGGUGUUGAUUUUAUUGACUCAAUUCAUUUGAUUGGGGUUCCAACAUUAUGCCACGAGGGGAGGCUGCGGGGAAUGGGGACCAUUGGAAGUAAAUCAAGUUGGAGCAAUGAUACGGAUUUGUUCCACAAAGCACACUUCACUGUUCUUCAACAAUCAUGCUUUGUGGCUCCGUAUAUCAAGGAACACAAGUAGAUUCUAUUUUCUGAAUACCCAACAAAAUCUUAUGCCUCGAUUAUACGUCAUCACAUGGAUAUUUUUCCCUCUUGGUUGCAUCAACACCUUAUGGGCAACUCCAUGAUUCACGAACAACUCGCUUGAAUAGCAGGGGACCUUCUAGCACAAUCGUGAAAUUCCAAGGUUACGGGAGAAAUAGUUAUACACUUUGCACGAGAGCCCAAGACCAGAAAAGCACCAACCAAAAUAGUGGUGUCCGCACAAAUGCCAUAGACAGCAACAGGAGCAAGGACUCGUAUUAUGGUUUCAUAGAGGAGAUCUAGGAACUCGAAUACGGACCGCUAAACAUCCCUCUGUUUCAUUGCCAAUGGUUGAAGCUAAAUGGAGGUGGUGUAAUGAAAGAUCAGUAUGGAAUGACAAUAAUGGACCUGACCAAUCCUCGAUAAAAUGAUGAACCAUUCAUCCUUUGCUAAUGAUGUGCAUCAGGUUUUUUAUUUGAAGGACGUAUCUAGCAAACCCAAGAAAAAUUCAAAAGAGCCAUGGGAGCCAAAGCGCCACAUAGUUCUUCCAGGUAAAAGAAAAAUCGUGGGAGUCAAGAACAUAACACACUAGAUAGAUGAUUAUGAUCAGUUUGAUGGCAUGCCUCCACUUGCUGUCGAUAUUGACCCAAGCAUCAUGCUAGCAAAAAAAGAGGCUACGUACUUAUGCCACGAUCAUGACCUAGGAACUUUCAUCAAGAAGAAGUUUUUUAACAUUACAUUGUAAUGCACUAAAUAUGGUUCACCUUUAUUUAAUGCUAUAUGGCCAUCAGAAUCUUUGAAUUAGAUUGUAUUGCUCUAUGGUGAAUUAUAUUAUAAUGUUCUACGAUUUCAUGUUUAUACAUUAAUUGUACUACUUGAUAUAAUUUUUAAUUUAACGUCUCUAUGAUUUCAUGUGUGUUUAAAUUAGUUGAGGUGAAUAUUUAUUCGAUAAAAAUAUAAACAAUGUUAACCAUGUAGAUCAAUUGCAUUUUUUGCGCAUUGAAAUUAUUUAAUCGAAUAAUUUGUUGAUGAUAGUGAUGCAUUCAAAUAAUUAUUUUAUAAACUUAAACAAUUAGUAUAGAAUUAAUGACUGAUUCAAACUUAUUUUAAAUAUACUUGCUAAUUUAAUAUAUUUUUGCAUGUUUGAAAUAUGUAAAGUUCUUUUUUUUCCUUCCUAAAAACCAAUACUCCCUCUGUUCCAAAUUGUAGGUUGUUUUAAUUUUUCGAGGUGCAUAGUUUAUGUUAUGCACUUAGAUAUAGUGUAUGUCUAGAUGUAUAAUAAUAUCUAUGAACCUAGAAAAGUUAAAAUGACCUACAAUUUUGAACGGAGGGAGUACAAAACAUAUAUAAAUUCUAUUUGCAAAAUAGGCGGGAAAUGAAAAAUCCCAAAAAGGGCCUUUACUCAGGUACUGCUACCAAGCGGUCCUAGAAACUAACCAUCUGAGAAAUUAUGUCCAUUGAACAUCUACGUUCCUCAAGUGGUCCGAGGUGCCAAUCACAAUUUCAAGAAAGGAUCAGUGGACUAGUUUCUCCGACCCAGGACACUACCCUCUCGUGCUGGAUCCAGUAGUCCCAGGCUCUCGACUCACAAAAGUACUCAUCAACGGCGGCAGUGACCUCAACAUGCUCUUUGCCAAGACUUUGAGGAAGAUAGGCCUCAAUGUAACAUAUAUGCUCACCCCGAUGAACUCUCCAUUCUACAGGACAUAUCACCCCGAUGAACUCUCCAUUCUACGGGAUUGUCCCGAGCAACAUGUUUGUACCCCUUUGGUCAGAUGAUUUUGCUAGUUACCUUCGGGACCAAGGAUCACUACUGGACCAAGUACAUCCGAUUCAAGAUGGCUGACUUCGAAACAUCAUAACACACCAUCCUGGGAAGACCAGCACUGGCCAAGUUCAUGGCCAUCCCACAUUAUGUGUACCUAGUACUCAAAAUGCCGAGACCAAGGGAUUAUUCUCCCUGUACGGAUACUUGAAGAGAUCAUAUGAUUGUGACACAGAAGUGGUCGAGCUAGCAGCGACUACUCAGGUGCCAAACUCGAUGAUGCAACUCUUCGCUACCUCCAAAAAAUUGUCUCCGGCAGAACUCAAGAUCCCAGAAAAGAAGUCGGAGACAACGAAGGUCAAAAUAGCAAGUGAAGUUGAUAUCAAAGCCAUUAACCUCGAGACUAGCGAUAGCUCCAAGAUAGCCCUAAUUGGCUCAGGGCUUGACCCAAAAUAGGAAGACACACUCGUCAGCUUCCUCCGGGCCAACCGAGAUAUUUUUGCAUGGAAGCCAUCUGACAUGCUGGGGGUGCCCAAGGAGUUGAUCGAGCACUCACUGAAUGUGGAUCCCAAAGCUACACCCAAACGAUAACGAAUACAUUGAUUUGCCUAAGAUAGGAGAGAAGCCAUCAAAAAAGAGUUGGUCAAACUACUCACGGAUGGCUUCAUAAAAGAAGUCUAUCAUUUAAGUGGCUGGCCAACCCUGUCUUGGUGCGGAAGAAGAAAAACAAUGAGUGGAGGAUGUGUGUAUACUACACGGACCUCAACAAGCACUAUCCAAAGAAUCACUUCAGGCUCCCUUGGAUUCAUCAAGUCAUCAACUCAACGGCUUUAUGCGCUAUACUCUAUUUCCUUGACUGCUACUUGGGGUAUCACCAGAUAGCUCUCAAGGAAAAAUACCAGAUCAAGAUCACAUUCAUGACCCCGUAUGGAGCUUUCUGCUAUACUACCUGUCCUUCAGGUUGAAGAAUGCAGGCGCCACAUAUCAACGAACCAUCCAGGAGUGCUUCAAGAAGCAACUACACCGCAACGUAGAGGCGUACGUGGAUGACAUGCACAUAAAAAUCAAAAAUCCUGACGACUUGAUUAUGGAUCUAGAAGAAACCUUCACAAGUCUACGAGCAUACCAGUGGAAAUUGAACCCAACAAAAUACGUAUUCGGUGUACCCUCCGGAAAACUACUUUGGCUCAUCAUCAAUAAUCAUGGAAUCAAGGCUAACUCUGAGAAGAUUUCUGCCAUCACCAACUUGCAUGCUCCAUCGUGCAUCAAGGACAUCCAGAAGCUGACUGGAUGCAUGGCGGCCCUCAAUGGAUUCAUCUCAAGACUUGGAGAAUGGGGACUAUCCUUCUUCAAACUACUCAAGCAGCAAGAUAAAUUUGAGUCGGCCGAGGUGGCAAAUCAAGCCCUUCAACAGCUGAAUGAUUUUUUUAUCAUAGUCACCGAUCCUCACAGUGCCUACCCCCAUUGAAGACUUGCUACUCUACAUCACCGCAACUACUAAUGUUAUUAGCACAGCGAUCGUCGUUGAAAGACCAGAACCAAACCAUGUAUACAAAGUAAGGUUUUAAAUGUACGACUAUAGCUGUCGCUAUAGUCGCUAUAGCCGGCUAUAGCUGUUUGAGUCUAUUCAAGCUAUUUGUGUUUAUGUACAACUUAGCGGUUAUAGCCCGCUAUAGCCUCAUUAAGCCUCCGCUAUAGCUGUUUUAGAGGUCAUCCGCUAAAUACCUGUAACCAGAGAUUUAAAACCUUGAUACAAAGUACAGAGGCCCAUCUACUUUAUCAGUGAGAUGUUGUCGGAUUCCAAAUCCAGGUACCCACUAGUUUAGAAAUUUCUAUACGCAAUACUAGUCACCUCGCGGAAGCUAUGACACCACUCCAAGAACACAACAUCUCUGUCAUCACACAUUUCCCCUUGGGAGACAUCAUCCACAAUAGAGAUGCGACACGAAGAAUUUCCAAGUGGGCAGUAGAACACGGAGCCUUAUCCCUGGAUUCAAGUCAAGGACCACAAUAAAGUCGUAAGCACUAGUUGAUUUCAUGUCAAAGUGAUGGGAAAACCAUGUACCCACAUUGGUAAAAUGUCCAGAACACUGAGUCAUGUACUUUGAUGCAUCGCUAAAGCUCGAGGGUGCCAGUUCAGUACUCUUAGGAGCUGUUUGGCAUAGCUUAUGGACCGGCUUCAUGAGCCGCUUAUACUCAAGCUGUACCAAACAGUGGCAAUGAAAACAGCUUAAACACAAAAGCCCCGGGAGAAGCCGUUGUGCGGCUUGCACUGGGAGGCGAGAGCCAAAAAAAAAAUGGCUUGCCCCGGCUUCUCCUCCUCCUCACAGCCAUGUGCUAUCACAUUGCUCCUCAAAUCGAUCAAAUUUACAACAGAAAUGCCACUCUUCCUACCUUCUUUCUUUGCCGGCGCUGGUGGUGGCAUGGGGCAGAGUGGCGUCGAGACAGCACGGCCGUGUGUAGCGCACCCACGUCAGUGCGGGAUGGGACCGGGUGGAGCAGCCGCGAGACGGCACGGCCAAGCAUGGUGCACCGAUGGCAGUGCGGUGCAAUGUAGGCUGUCAGCGGCGUGGCCGCGGAGGGCACACUGGUGGCGGAGUGGAGGUGCAGGACGUGCGGAGGAACGAUGGGAUCCGAGAUGGAGGCACGAGAGCAAGGCCAUGUGCAGGGAAGCAUACGGUGGCGGCCAUGGCGAGACUACUGGAUAGGAAAGAACGGUGAUUUGUUUUCCGCGAAGGAAAGAUGGAUGGGUCAGCGGUACUUGGCAGGAGUGGAUAAGGGUGGAAUAGAAGGAGAAAAAAGCAAAAAGAAAAAAAGAGAAAGGAUAAAAAAGAAGGAAAAUAUUAUUUUGUCAAAAGGACUAUGUGCCGAGCGCCUAAUUAUUAGCUUAACUAUAUUUUAUAUCAUUAUAUUAUUAUUUUACACAAGUCACAUUAUUAAUAAAGACAAUAUAUAAAACUCAUACAUACAAGCAAUAUAGAUAUGUAAGGGCGCACAAUGGACAAUUAACAUCUUCUAUACAUUCUAAAAAGUUAGGAGAAGCCGUUUUGCCAAACGUUUUCAUACAAAAUAAGUGAGAGCCAGAAAAAACUGUUUUUUCAUAUGAGCUAGAGUCAGAGCUGUUUUUUCAUGAGCAAGAGCCGUGUCAAACGGGGCCUUAAUUUCUCCCAAAGGCGAACAACUGAAAAUACGUGUUGCAAAUCCCAUCCAUUCCAUUUUGCCACGCGCCACCAAACCUUCAACGACCGGUCGGGAUGAAGAUCACCGUGCACUCCUCCAAGUCCGUCAAGCCAGCCAGUAGCUCCGGCAGCGGCAGCAGCACUCCGGCUGGCUCCUCCAAAUCCAAGCUCAUCCCCCUCACCGUGUUCGAUGAGGCCAACCACGACGAGUACAUCCCAGGCAUAUUCGUCUUCCACCCGCCGGCGCCGCC
rnacentral:lncRNA from 1 species